GAUAACACAUCCAAGACAGCCAUCACUUUUGUUGCUUGAAUCUGUGAAGGGAAGCACAUCAGCAGUGCCAUUUCGGGUUUCUUCAAAAAGUUCUUGAAAAACUCCUCAGACGGAUCUUCAGUUGGCAUAUUGGUACGUGCGAUUGUAGGCUUGUUUGGGAAAUAUCCAGCAUACAUGUACUGUCCAAAGUUCACAGCUGCAUGAUGCCCAGCUGUUACCCAAAUAAUGGUUGUCAAAAUGUGAAUUAGAUUUUCUGGGGUUUUCAAAACAGGCCACCAUGGCUCAUCUUUCUUGUCUGCAUGGCCUUUUGUCCUAACUUCUGUCCACCAACCUUGAAGCUCCGUAUCAGACUCAACAAGAGUUGGGUCUGGAUAGUAGUGGUUUACAUAGUCACCCACCCACUCCUUAAUGGCAUCCCAAAGAAUGAGACCAUCAUUUGCAAAUGGGUAGUCUUCAAUUGUUAGCUUCAAACCAUGCUCAGCUGUAGGAUCCUCAACUGCCAUUCCCCUGAAAUUAAAGCAAACAGUAAUUAGCCGAUGAACUUCCAUGGCGUUUCAAAUGAAGUUUUUGUCUUUUAAGAUUGGUAGCAACUAGAUUGCAUUCUUCGUUAUAAAAAAAGUUGCCUGCGACAACACAUGGUUUGGAUGAAUCUUAUAUUAGUCGUAUCAUGUGAAAUACCUUCUGAUGAGAUCAGCUGGCAAAGCUUCCAUGUCAAAGCGCCAGAGCUGGUCAUAAGCAGCAGAACUGAGCUCAAUGGAGUACUUUUCAGGUGAGAAGCAGCCCUCAAUGAUUCCACCUGCAUUGAUGAGGCUUUCUCUAGCAAGAGCAUUGAUUUCCAUUGUAUACCGAAAAUGAGGAUGCAGAAGUCUAUAGAUAGGAUGCAUUGCACUUAAUUGUCGAUUAGCUGCAAUUAUGUAUGGCUCUGUAGCACAAUGAGUCCUCAGCCUGUGAAAAUAUAACAGUGCAAACAUGUUACCAACCAUGCAACACUGACAUACUUGCUACUUUUCAAAUCCCUAUUAGAGUAGAUUCUUGCUUGAACUGAAGGCAUGAGCUAGAAGCACCACUUGGGCACAGAUUUGCUUACCAGUGGAUGACAAGCUGAUGAUAGCCAGCAUCAUGAGCACAAACAUGAGCUUUAGCGAGCCUCCACAGCCAGCAACCAGUGGCAUCCCAGGUUGGGGUGAACACUUGCUUCCAUUGUGGCUUGUCACCAACCGGUGGUCGAGUGAGUUCAAUGGCAACAGGCCUCAGCGUCCCAUCCUCGGUGAGGAAGAGUAGUGUCCGAGAACCAUACAGUGUGGUUCCUUCAAUCUCUCUUACUUUGUUCACAUAAGGCAUGUAAAGAUCAUGGUAAUCCAAAAUAAACAUCUUCUUUCUUUUUAAAGCCUGCAUUUCAAGUUCAAGCAAUUGGCGUGCACAAGGACACACACAGUUUACACGAUUUCAAGUUAUAUGCAUCAAUGGGGGAAAAUUUUCGUCCAGUUUAAAGGUGUACAAUAAGAAAAAUAUAGGAGAGUUGGUGUCUAUUUCGUGUUACCUCAUCGACAGUCAUACAACCUUUGAUCUCUUUCUCCACCAGUUCUGUUGUAAUCAAUGAUUCAGGUGGGCCGUAAAUCUCAGGGUCAAGUUUACUCUUCAAUGGCCACUCCUGCAGGUAUAAAAGUACAGAAUUUAGCACCACAAGAGAAAACAAGAUAUGCUAUUAAACACUGUAAUUACUUGACCAACAAGGAAGAUGGACGGGAGGAAGGGAACGUAGAAGUUUGAUUUUCUUACUGAAGAGAAAGAGUAGUACUUGUAUGUUUAAGAAAGCAUACCGUGACAAGUUCUAUACUGUAUGGAUUAAGACCAGCUAGAGUUUGCCGAGAAAAUUCUUCAUCUCUAAACCAAGCAAACUUGUCACCUGUAGAAGACGAUUACCUUAAUCAAAAGGACAAAGACAAUGUGGUAUUUUCUCUUACUUAAAAGAGGACACAGACAUGUACACAGAGAGAGAGAGAGAGAGAGAGAGAGAGAGAGAGAGAGAGAGAGAGAGAGAGAGAGAGAGAGAGGAGGAAGGCAUACGGUCAAUUAUUUCGGGGGUCUCGAAGAGCAAAAGAUCGUCUCCCCCAUCAGUAAUGGUCUUGACUAGCCUUGGGAUGAUUGUCUGAAAAAACCCACUAGUUUUUGGCUUAGGCAAUGUGACUCCUUCAUUGAACAGUGAAUCAAUGGCUGUGAAGUAUGGAAAUCCUAAUUCUGGAUUAAGAAGCGCUGUCUCAAGCGAAGGGAGCAACGCGUGCAGCACAGAUUUCAGAGUCUUUGCUGAAAAUGUGAGUUCUUUCACCUCUGCAAAUGCUUCAUCUCUUGGUACAUACACACUGCUGCUUCUUGUUUCUGAUAAGGGGUCUGCGUUGACAUAACAAUAUGAUACAGUUAAUCGUAUAGCUCUAAUAGUUUCUCAACCAUACAACUACACAUGCUUAAGCAACAUACCAAAUAAACAAAUGGUUCAUAUAGUUAAAGUAGACAUAUUCCAUUUUCAAAAACAUUAAGCGCAUAGUUAUUUGGGGAAUUUGGUUACCUUUUUUGGUGCGUGGCCGUCCUGUUCUGCAGCGCCUGGGAUAUGGAUGUUCUUUGCUGCCAAGGACAGGCCUAGCCAGUUCCUCUUUGCUAUCAGGAUCUCCAAGAUCAUUGUAUGUGUCAUAAUCGUAAAUCCUAUCGGAUGUUUUUCUUUCACCCUCUCCAUUUCCUCUCAAAUUUUCCAGCUCUAGUUCUCUCAGCCUCUUCAACCCAUUUGGUGUCUCUGAUGGUAUGUAAGACUGCUCCAUUGUUCACAUAAAAUAAAUGAACGCACAUAAGAUUGAAGUGUAAGUAAGUUUAAGAAGCUGUAAUUACUAGAAAUUAAAGAAAGUAUUAAGGAUGUAAACCUUGUUAGUGAAAAAGAUUCUCUUCUGUGGAUUGUCAAACUUGGCAUGAACCCAAGAAUUGCAUGGAACAUUAACAGAGCCAUUUGGGAAGCCCUGGAGGUCGAUGGUCUUGAUGAAGAUCUCCUUGUGGUGCUCAUUCUCUACCUCAAUUGCUCCAACCUCUCCAAAACCUGCUGGGAUUGUGAAAUUACUCUCAUAUAUCACAUCAUCAUCAUUGUGGCUGGCUUUGUGCGCAUACCCCUUGAUCCUGUCCUUCUCCAACCCCGUCUCUACAAGAAAAUCCAUUUUACAAAUUUCUAAUCAGUAAAUUAAUCAGUAUUUCCAAAAUUCUUUAUUGGUUGAUCAUAAACAUCAAAUUCUUCCAGCGUUACUUUAUUUUGAUAUAAAAUUAAUCGAACAAUAUGGGUUGUGAAAAAAAUAAAAAUAAAAAGUUAUACUAUAGUGUAGGGAGGCAACAUGUUGUGUCACAGUGUCAUGUCCGCUUUGAGUUAUGCCGAUGCAUUAGAUGGGUCAUAAAUUUCCAACUUAAAUGAGUUGGGUUGAAUUGUUAUUUAAAUCAUCCUACUAUCCCGUUUAAGCGGCUUAACCUAUUUAACAUAUUUAAACUCAUGGACUAAAAGUUGACCAAAAAAACUCAUGUACUAACAAAUAUAUUUUAACUCAUUUAAUAUAUUAAAUAUUAAUCUUAUCAAUAAUGUUACUUGUAUAUACUAACUUAUGAUAAUAUGUAAGGGACUUGCAGCUCAAGUGGUUAAGAGUAUUUAUCAUUACAUCCUAGGUCCUAGAUUCGAUUAUCUUCUCCCUCAAUAUUGUUUGUGUGGAAAAAAAAAAAAAAAAAAACAGGUUUUCUUUGUUUUGGACUCAAAUUUUAUUUUUGAGUUUAAAAAAUUGAAUUCAAGUUGAAUACCAAACAUGUCCUUAAUGUUCUCUUUUCUGAAAUGAAGAAAAAAAAAAAAAACUAGUUAGAACUAGUCUUUUGCUUGGUAUAUUGGUGAAAAAAAAAAUGGAGGGAAAAAUAAUGAAAAUGAAAACUGAAAAUACUUCCAAGUUGUUUUGGAAAAUAGGGUGAUUUUGAAAACUGAAAACGGCAAAUAUGUUUUAAGUUCUUAAAAACAGUGAAAAUGAAAUAGUUAUCAAACAAAUAAUUAAUAUUUAUUUUUUGAAAUUAAAAAAAAAAACUAGUUUUUUAUUUGGCAUAUCUCAGGUGGUUGGAGAAAAUUUUGAGUUUAAAUUUCAUGAAUGACAAUAAAUAUCGAUUUUUUUUUUUUAUUUUUAUUUUUUAUGAAAUAAAGUGAAUAAAUUAGUAGUGCUUACUGGAGUCAAGCUCGGCGCUAACAAGCUCCAAAAGAAGUGUUUUGCCGAGCAAAUCGGUAAUUUCAUCGAGAGGCCGAGUCAGUAUGUUGGAGAGGAACCCUCCUGCCUGCACUGUAACCACAGCCUUCACACUAACUGCCUUGUUCUCUAUUGAGGUUAUAGUUGUGGUCACCGUGGACACUGCUGCAGAUGAUCCGAGCUCACCAGAACUAGCACGAAUCACCACACAGGAGGAGGACUUUUUCUUAUUAUGAUCAUUUUGACGGACAGGAUGGCGUGGAAGGAUGUUGAUGAGGGAGGGGCUUCCAUGCCUGAUCAGAUCAUUGGUAUGAAUGGAGGAUUUUGGUAAGAGAGAGAAGGAUGGAGCAUGGUUGAGUUUUUGCAGCUGAGAGUUCAUCAUGUUUCUCUGCUAGUUUGCCUUUUCUAUUGCCAGAAUUGUCCAUGCAUUUGUAGAGAUUUAUAGAGAGAGAGAGAGAGAGAGAGAGAGAGAGAGAGAGAGAGAGAGUAAUGUGUUGUAAAACAUGGUGAACAUGUUUGGAUCUAGCUAGGUAGGUGUGCCGCUUGAAUAAGGGAAGAAAUUAACACGAGAAAUAUAGAAAAGAAAACGAUUGGUCUUAUCAAGGAUUAAAAGAAUACUACAAAGUAGCGGUAACUAAUUGGUCCCCUCCGUUCCAUGAUUCUUUUUUCACUUUCACAUGGCAUCCCUUAAUGCCUUAGCGGAAGGAAGAGGGAGAAGGGCUUUUUCAAAUAGUCUCACUCAAGAUAAACCGGAAAAGGGUUGUGAGUGUUUUGUUGUUGUUUGUAUUUUGUAAAAUCUGGAGCAUCUAAGUAAUCCACGGGUUUAAGAUUGGACACAUUAAUAUUUUUGCCUUCUGCAAUUGAAAUUGACAGGAAGGUGCUGUCGUUAUACAUCUUUCAAUCUCAUUUCCGAAAGAUUCUUAUCAAGUUAUCAUCUCAUUUUCUCAGUAAAUAUGACUUUAUAAAAUAAACAGGACAAAAAAUUAGUGUGUUUUUGGGAGCAAUUAAAUAUAGAAACUGUGAGUGUGCCCAUGCUCGUACGCCUUUUCCAUUUUUCACAAAAAAAAAAAAAAUAUAUCUCAUGCCCCCACUGUCCAAUUUUUUAUUGUUUCCUUUGUAAAUGUUGAAGAGUACUAAUUACUUAAAUGCCAAAAAAUUAAAAAGUCUGGAGUGAAAUCCAAAGUUUAGAUAGAGAAAACAAAUAUUAUAUGAAAGAGAAAAACUGAGGAGAAAGUUGACAAUUGUAAGGUCAUGAGUUGUACAUACGCACCACCAUUUAGUCACAUGAUGAAAUUAGAAUAUAUCCCGUCUCUUGGCUUGGCAGUAUUAUCGUGCCAAAAUGUAGAUGUGAUAAAAAACGGUUUUCAUCCAUAAAAAUUAUUAGAUAUAUACCAGGAAGUAAUGCCAAUUAUAUUAUCGUUCUAUUUGUGCAUGUUAUUGGAAUUCAAUUCUAUAGAAUUAUCUUUGAUCUCCAAAAGGUUUUUUUAAAAGAAAUUUAAAGAGAAAAUUCACACAUACACGGGUACUAUAAAGAAUUGAACUCGUGACCACUGGAACACACCAAAAAUUUGAGCCAAUUCAACUAACAACCUAUUAAUAACCAAAGAUAUAGUACUGGUUUGGGAAUGAUUCUCGAUAUUCUAUAAUUAGUUCUUAGGAGAACCAUCUCUUAUGUGUUUUUCCAUAUAAUCACUUUAAGUGAAUUUAAGGACCAGUUUGGCAUUGCUGUGCUGUGAAAAUAAUAGUUGUCAGUAUGAGAGAAAGCAGUUUGGCGUUUGGUAAAAAUUUUGUUAAAAGUAUUGUUGGUAUUAAUUUCCGCAUUAUCAGAAAAUGAUUGCCGCAUUAUUAUUAAACACAACACCUCUUCGAAACUGAUUUAUGCAUAAUUAGAAAAUGAAAGCACCUCAUUAGCUACUUUCCCUUAUAGCUUUCUCUCACAUCAAUUUUUAACAAUAAAUUAUUUUAUCAUAGUUUACCAAACGGGUUGGGCUUCCCAAUUUUUUUUUUAAAAAAAUCACUUAUCACCCCAAAUAAGCAAUGCCAAACGGGCACUAAGUGAUUCUAGGCAUAAACAUUUCCUAUGUGUUUCUCCAUAAAAUCAUUUAAAACUACUUGAAGUGAUUAUUCAUAAAAGUGUUUUUUUGCCUAUCCAAAAUCACUCCAAAACGAAAUAUAGUAUAAAUAACCACUCCUACCUUUAAGCCGUCUCAAUUUCAAUAAUUUUUUUUGGAAAAAGUUUCUAAUUCAAUCAUUGAAUAUAUAAAUGGCUAUUUGCUCCGGGUUAAGUCAUAAUCUUUAAAAUAGUAAAAUUGCUAUACGUGCUUUUGUUUAGCUUUUUUAGUAUUAUUAUAUAUUUAUUAUUAUUAUUUUCUGUUGAUUUGAACAUAAAACAUAUAGCUGCAAGACAAACAUGUCAAAUAGGUAAGUGCAAAACAAAGAUGUAAAAUAUUAUUUUAUUACUUACGUACAACCUUGGUGUAGUUUGAGGUUGACAUUAAGAAAGGAUCCAUGGAUUAGUGGAAAAUAAUAUCGGAACAUUGAAAGCAAGAACCACGUUCACCUUUUAUUUAUUAUUAAUUCAACCACCAAUCCCAGUUGAACAAUGUGCUGAGUAAUAAAAUAAUAAGCUUAAGUUUAUCUUCAUACUAUUCCUUAACUGUUUUUAUUUAUUUAUUUAUUUUUUAAAGGAUAUUUUCUAUUGAAAUGGUCAAUAGUAUAUUAAACUCACACACACAACACAGAUGUUAGGACUCGAAUUUAAAACGUUGCUUGAGAGAAUAAAUACUUUAAAUCACUACACUAGUGAGUCCUUUAUUUUAAUAUAUUUUAAUAUUUAAUAAACCUUUUUAUCCCGACUACUAAAUUUCCCGAUUUUUCAUACUAAAGGUGUAGUUUUGUCCAUAUCUCAUUAAUCUCAAUCUAAAGGCCCAUAUCCUUUGGUGGACACAUACACCAAAGGACUGUAGAAUUUUCCAUAUCCCCAAUACUAUUACUAUAGUCUUCAUAUUAUAAUACAACCAUAAAUCUUUUAAAAGGAAAAAUGGCCAUACAAAACAAGAUAUUAAUAAUAUGGGUUUAUAUUUAAUAUAUAUAAAAAAGACUUGGCUUAAACCUAAUAAAAGACAAAGCUUUUGGGCUUAAAUAUAAAGAUUGCUAGUCUUCAUAUCAUGAUUGCUGGCUUCUUUAUUUUAUUUUUUGAGAGAAAGCGAUCUUUAUUAAGAGAUAAGAAUUACAUCAGUAAUGGUUUGUGGAGGGUCCCAAAACCAUGAAGAUGCAUCCUCUACUAAGCAUGCCUAGCCAACCUAUCGAAGAGUGUUUGAGCAAACAUCUCUCCAAUAAUGAGAAAAGCAUGCUUUCCAUGUCGAGAAUAUUAAAGUUGGUGCAUUACGCAAUAUCUUUGUAGCAUCUUAAGGGGUAUGAAAUUCAAACUUCUAAAGAGAUUUAGAAUUUAAAAGUACGGAUAUAUUAAAUCAAGGUACCUCUUUUCUUUAUACUCAAGUUCGAAUCUCCGUCCUCAUAUGUUAGAUUAAUUUAGAGUAAUUUAGACUAUCGUGUGUAUUAUUUUCAACAAACCCUAUAAAUCAUCCUUCUGGUUUUGGCUGAAUGUGCUUGCUUCCAAAUUUAAUCACGUGUAAUUGAACAUGAUCAUGAAUUUCACAAUUAAAACAAAAAUUACUCAUGGUACCUUCAUUUUUGCAUAUUUUUUUUAUAAAAAAAAUUAAAUUUUAUAAAUACUUGGAUUUUUUUGGUUAGAUUCAUUAUUACUUUUUAAAUUUUAAAUUUUAUUUUAUACAAGUUUGAGAGAGGAGGGAAUCGAACACAAAAUCUUGAGUGCAAGAAUAACACACUUAAUCACUUGAGUUACAACCCUUUUGCAUUUAUUAUUUUACCUUUAAUAAAAGUUUCAUUUUUUUUUAUUAUUUAAACCGAUAGCCAUAAUGUACACCCAAAUGGACAUUGUAUUAUAGUUGGCAUAUGAGGGUUAGGGGUUUUGAACACUAAACCUCCUCAAGCUAUCAGUAAAUGGUACGUCCAGAACGUUUAUUACAUAAACAAUGAUACUUCCCAAAAUUAACAUUCUUGCGAAAAUCAAAGAACCUAAUUGAUUUCAUGUUUUAUAAAGCAAGGAAGGAUGUAUGGUUGCAUUAAGAAUGUUUAAUAUGAUAUCAAAACUAUUCAAUAGUACUUGUCUGCAAAAAAGAUUUCUAAAUCCUUACCAUCAAACAAUGUGGCAGAUUAUAUAUAUAUAUAUAUAUUGGGAGAAACGCUUGUAUUGGGAGAAACAUUCGUGUGAAAUGAGGAUAACAUUAUUUUGUUAUUUUGACUAAUUACGUUAUGCAUAUAUAAUAAAUUUGCCAUUUGACACAUCGUGAUUGACAAAGAAUAACAAAACAACUUAAUGAAUUAAUAUUAUUGUUACCUACGUCAUCUCAGAUGUAAAAUUUGAAAUUCGAAAUGAUGUUAUGUAAACGCAUAAAAAAAGUUUAUGUGGUCUUUCUGGCAAAAAGCAUGGCACUGCGUAAAGGUCAGUUUCUUGUUGAUGAGGUCUGACCGACACAAAUGAAUGAUUGACACAACGAGCCAAAUGCAUGUGGUAGUAACUGUAAAAUGAUAUGGUCCCCGAUUUUGAUGAGAAUCGUGUAGGUUGUGCGUAAAUUCAUAUACAGUAGUAGAUGUCUCAUAAUCAGAGAAAGCACCAACCAACCCACUCUACAAUGCGAGAAAAACUUUCCUGGAAUGGGUAUGUCAAAGUAAAGAAAUGCUAGUAACUUUCUUUCUAAUUUUUUUCUUUUUUUACUUGACAUGUGUUAUUUUCUUUACACUUAAAACAAUGUUAUUAAUAUAUUAUACAAGUUAACUUUUGCUUUCAAACUUUACCCUUAUUAUUUUCUGUUAAUUUGAACAUAAAACAUAUAGCUGCAAGACAAACAUGUCAAAUAGGCAAGUGCAAAACAAAGAUGUAAAAUAUUAUUUUAUUACUUACGUACAACGUUGGUGUAGUUGAAGGUUGACAUUAAGAAAGGAUCCAUGGAUUAGUGGAAAAUAAUAUUGGAACAUCGAAAGCAAGAACCACGAUUCACCUUUUAUUUAUUAUUAAUUCAACUACCAAUCCCAGUUGAACAACGUGCUGAGUAAUAAAAUAAUAAGCAUAAGUUGAUCUUCAUACUAUUCCUUAACAUAUUUUAAUCUAUAUAUAUAUAAAAUAAAAGACAGAAAACGGUGAAACAUUCAAAGGAUCAGAAAAUGCCAUUAAUUAAUGCAAACAUUAAGAAUUGAAAUUUAUAAUUAAAUGAGAAUAAUAUGGUAAAUUCACACUUUUUCAUAUUAAAAAAAUUAAAAUUAAAAGAAAAAUCAGAUAAUAUAUCAUAUUUUUAUGGAACACAACUACCCAUUAUCUUUUUUAAUUUUAAAAAUAAAAUAAAAAAUAAAAAAGAAAACCAAUUGACACAUGCGCAAAGAGCUAGAAUUUAAUAAACUUUCUUACCCCGACUACUAGGUUUCCCGAUUUUCCAUACCAAGAGUGUAGAUUAGUCCAUAUCCCACUAAUCUCAAUCUAAGAUCCCAUAUCCUUUGGUGUACCCACACACCAAAGGACUAGAGAAUUUUCCAUAUCCUAUCCCCAAUACCAUUACUAUAGUCAUCAUAUUAUAAUAGACUUGGCGAAUUUUGUCUUGUUUGUAGGUGGAUUAUGAUUGAAGAAGACUUGGGUUAAGAUUUGGGCUUGAAUAUAAAGAUAGCUAGUCUUCAUAUCAUGAUUGCUGGCUUCUUUAUUUUAUUAUUUUAUUUUAUUUUUUGGGAGAAGCGAUCUUUAUUAAGAGAUAAGAAUUACAUCAUAUCAUGAAGAAGUACAUGAGCAAUGGUUUAUGGAUGGUCCCAAAACCAUAAUAUAUAUAUUGGAGACGUUUGUAUUGGGAGAAACAUUUGUGUGGAAUGAGGAUAACAUUGUUUUGUUAUUUUGACUAAUUACACUAUGUUAUAUAUAAUAAAUUUGUCACUUAACAUAUCGUGAUUGACAAAGAAUAACAAAACAACUUAAUGAAUUAAUAUUAUUGUUACCUACAUCAUCUCAGAUCUAAAAUUUGAAAUUUGAAAUGAUGUUAUGUAAACGCAUAAAAAAGUUUCUGUGCUCCUUCUGGCAAAAAGCAUGGCACUGCGUAAAGGUCAGUUUCUUGUGGAUGAGGUCUGACCGACACAAAUGAAUGAUUGACACAACGAGCCAAAUGCAUGUAAUUGUAAAAUGAUAUGGUCUCCGAUUUGAUGAGAAUCAUGUAGGUUGUACGUCAACUCAUAUACAGUAGUUGAUGUCUAGGUGAUCAGAGAAAGAAACCCAUAACUCAUAUACAGUAGUUGAUGUCUAGGUUAUCUAUCAUCUCUCCCUCUUCUCACCAGCUCACCCACUCAUCUCUCCCUCUUUUCCCUUGCAACUUUUAACACAGGAUUUCAAAUACUAAUUUAAAAAACAUCAAUUUUUAUCAAUAAUAAUGCAAACCAAUCGAUAUAUGCGACUAUGACAAAAAAUAUCAGAAAGAUGAAGCUAGCUGGGUAAUAUAUAACAGAAGAAAUUCAAAGAAUACCAUAAUCUAGCCAAUUAUUAGAAUUCUAAGAAUGAAGAAAAAGAGAACUGUUAACCCUUUUAAAACGAAAUAAAUGUUUGAGGUGGCUGAUAUCAGAGCUAGUAAGAUGAGAGAGAACAAGUGGAGAUUUGAGUUGCAGGCAAGAGAGGGAGAGAGAAGAAGAGGGAUUUGAGUUGCAGAGAAUAACGGACGACGGACCAGGCGUGAAAAAGGAAAAAAUUAUAGUAGUUCACAGUUGUCAGGAGUUAAUUAGUUGGAGAUACUGAAGUGGAAUGCUUACUUUGGCAUACCCGUUCCAGGCAAGUUUUUCUCGCUCUCUAACAGACUUCCAUCGUAAAAAGGAGUCUAAUUUUCCUGUGCCCCCCAUUUCCUUCGUGGUAUUGUGACAUGUGGCACAUCUUUUAACAACAUUUUAACAAUGUUAACUCUUCAGAUUCAUACCAUUUAUUUUUAUUUAAAAAAUGAAUAAAUUACUCAAAUGAUCUUCAAAUUUGUACGCGAUUUAUAUUUUAGUUUCUAAAUUAAAUUAUUAGUCAAAAUGGUACAUAAACUCUAUUUUAAUCGCCCAUUUGAUCCAACCGUUACAUUCUAUCAAUGUUGCUGUUAAAUAUGAGAGUAAAUUGGUCAUUUCGUACAUUAAAAAUAAAAAAAUACUGAAAAAAAAUAAAAACUCUCUCUCUCUCUCUCUCUCUCUCUCUCUCUCUCUCUCUAUUCCCCUGUAACACCCCGACCCCAAAUUUAACCCUUAUUUAAUUAUUUAAUUAUUUAAGGGUAUUUUAGUCAUAUUUUUAACCGGGGAGAGUUUGGGACCGUGACUUGUAUUUUUGGAUAGGUCGUACUGAGAAGAGUUCAUAGACACGUAGUGGGCUCAAAUCGGAGUUGUAACGAGAGAGAUAUGGUCAAAAGAAGCCCAGUGGCACAAUCGUAAAUAUUUCGAAAUGGAAUUUUUUUAUAAAAAUCUGGUUCUCUCUCUCUCUCUCUCUCUCUCUCCCCCGCGGGUCUCUCUCUCUCCUCUCCCUCGCGCACGACAGCCGGCCACGUUUUGGCCGGCCGUGCUCUCCUCUGGCCACCAAUGACGACGGAACCGGUACCAAAAUGACCGGGCCGUCGUCCUCUUCCUACCCCAGCCACCUCCCGCCUCCAGCCGCCGUGGAUUCGCCGGAAUUUGGAGCUGAAGCGGACGACGUCGUCCAAACUUCAAAGCCGCCGAUCUCCCUCCUCCGGCCACCAAUUCCGUCGAUCCAGGUAUGGAUUUUGAACCUCUCGAGCUGCUCUAGCUGAUGGUUGGGUAGGAUUAGAUCGAUUCUUAGCGUAGCUAACUCAAUUUUUGAAUUGAAAAUUGGCCGAAACUUCAGCCUCCGUGAUCGGCCAAUUCCGGCCACUUUUUGGGGUAGGUCCAAGAACAAAAGUGGCUCCAAAUAGGGUGUUAUACCUAGGGUAGGAGUUUGGAGCAAUGGUUUAGAGAUUUUCCGGCGAAGCGUUAUCGCUUUAGGCACCCACGCGCUGCCAGGGCGUGUGGCGGCGCGUGGGCACUGUAAAAAAAGUAGCAAUGUGUUCCGAUGAGAUCCUUAGGUUGUCACGAGUGCGUAGGAUUUCGCGGAUCUCAAUUCGGACGUCGUUUGACUAUCGAACGGAUAAUUGCAUAUUAUGCGUUAUCCGGGUUCGAUAGGUUGGGACCGUCGGAUGGUCCCAAAUUUAAUAUAUGUUAAUCUAGGUAUUUCUAGGAUCGUGUAGGAAUUCACGGAUCGUGAAUCGGAGCCCCGGAUGUUCCGAAUAAUAAUUUAAAGUUUAUAUUUUAUAUUAACCGUCAGAUUAUGCGAUCGUGAGAAAUCCGACUGUCUGAUCUGAACCAAACUCGCAGGACAAGUGUCCUAUACCUGGUAGAACCCAUAGGGACUUUCGAAUCCGAAAUUGGAAGUCGUGGGUUCUGCAGGUCCGUUUGACCAGGGUUAGAGUAGUUUGACCCUUGGUUGAUCGUGAGUCUCCCGGAAUAGUCUCACCCUUCCAGGGGGAUUAUCGGGAGCUAGACUAUUGUGGAGGGUUACACAAUAUAAGAAUUAAUUUAUAUAAAUAUAAUUAUAUGUGGUUGUACAAGGGUAUGACAGAGUCUAGAAUGUCAGUUUGGAGUGCUAUACGCACUACCGUAGGUACCUCCUCAGACGUUGGAUUCACUACAAGUACCACCAAGUGAAAGUUAGGUCCCACGUGGCGUAGAUUAUCCGACGUUGGGACAGAUCCCAUACGUGGCGUUGGUUGUACCGGCGUAUGGGGAGCUAUAUAAUAUGAUGUUCAGGUCUCACGUGACGUAGGUUAUCCGGCGUUGAGACAGGCCCCAUACGUGGCGUUGGUUGUACCGGCGUAUGGGGAGAUUAUGUGAUAUUGUGUUGAGGUCGCACGUGGCGUAGGUUAUCCGGCGUGUCGACAGACCCCAUACGUGGCGUUUGUUGUACCGGCGUAUGGGGAGAUUUGUGAUAUGAUAUUGAGGUCCCGCAUGGCGUAGGUUAUCCGGCGUUGGGACAGGCCCCAUACGUGGCGUUGGUUGUACCGGCGUAUGGGGAGAUAUUAUGAUAGUAUGGCAUGGUCGCCGUGGCGUAGGUUAUCCGGCGUGUUGACAGGCUCCAUAUGUGGCGUUGGUUGUACCGGCGUAUGGGGAGAAUAUGUGAAAUACAGAGAAAUGAAAUAAGGCAUCGCCCAAGUGUGGAAUUGGGUUUUUAGGGAAGAACUACGUGUGGCUUGAUCCCUCAAGGAGGGUACGUAGGCAGCCUAAGGUUAUUAGGUGCAGCCGCAGACUAAAUAUUAGUCAUUUUGGUAUUUGAAUUGUUUGGUAGUUGUUUGAGAAUUAUUGGAAGGCCGAAGGCCAUUUAUGAGAAUUUGCAUGAAAUUAUAUUGUGCAUGCUGCCAGUUGUGUAUAUUAAAUGCGUUUUUAUGCAGGUUGAAAUUUUGGGAAAUGUCCAAUUUAUAGGGGAGACUCUGCCGAAUUUUCGGCAGGAAGUCUCGGUUUUUAGUAAGUGGGCCUGCAUCGGGGUGAUGUCAGGAAUUCCAAAGGGUUCGUCUCGGGUUUUGAGAAAAUUCGGGGCGGGUCCUUAAAUCCCCCAUGGCCACCACCCUCAAACUCCAACCCCCAAACCCAUCCCACAACCACUCUCCACCCAAACCCAUCCAACAACCACCCUCCACCCAAGCCAGCAACUACAGAAAAAGAAAAGAAAAAAAUCUUCCACAAACCCCCUCCUAACGAACCCAGUCACUUUUUUGCCUCUGUUGAUCCUCUUCAGCUCCACCACCAUUUUCACCAUUGCCCACCUGCUUAAGAGCUUUCCUCUUCCUUUGCGUCUCUUCAGCAAUCUUCUCCAUCCUCCUUUGGGUCCUCGCUCCUCAGCAGCAGCAGCAAGUAGACAUACCGCUUCAGCUUUUCACACAAACCAAGUUAUUGCACCAAGAAAUGAUCAAAACCCCACCUUGGAAAAUGAAACAAAACAGCCAACUGUUAUCAAAAUCGAAAUACUUGCAAUAGGCCAAAGAGCAGAAGUAGUGAGUCUACGGCAAUCAGAAAGAUUUAAAGAUCACAACUAACGAAAGGCUCCUAUGUAUGCAAUCCAUUCGGCUUCAACAUAGCUCUCCCCUCUCAGAUCAAGCUCCUCUAUGCUGUGUUUGAAUAAUCUACACCAUAUGCCCACUACCCAUUUCAAUUCCAUGUGCAAGUAAUCGAAUAGAUUAGACACGAGUUUCUCGGGAAACAAACAGAAGAAGAAAAAAAAAGGUGAGAAACGUACUCCAGCAAGGAAGGGAAGAGGAACGCAAUAAUUGGAGAGGUCUGUGGGAAAUGGGGGAGAAGAAAUCGAAUGGAGGGGCUCAUGAUUUUUUUUUUCUUUUUCUUCAAUUAUUUUCUAAUUUUGUAUUUAUUUUAACCCUAUUUUAUUUGUUAAUUAUGAAAGUUCGUAUUUACUCUAAAAUUUGGUUAAAUUUAACAGAAAAUUAGACCGUAGGACCAAUGGAGUAAUUAAUAUAUAGUUUAUGUACCAUUUGGACUAAUAAUUUAAUUUAGGGACCAAAAUAUAAAUCGCGUACAAGUUUGAGGACUAUUUGAGUAAUUUACCCUUAAAAAAUUAAUUAAAAUACAUGUUUGACCCAAACACGUUCUCUCUCCUCUUCAUCUUCUACCUUGCAUAUCAUUAGGGGUGGUUGCGGUUCGGUAACUGCAAAUUUUUGCCAAAAUCGCAAACCGACCGACUAUUUGUGGUAUGAUGAUUUUUGAAACCACAAACCGACGGCACAUUUUGCUGUUUACCGCAUUGCAGUAAACUGCAAAAAGCGGUCGGUUACCAUGAAAUAGAGGUUUAAAACCGCAAGUUCUUUUUGUGUCAUAAAAAUCCAAUCUUCCACAUUUUAGGCCUAGUUUUGAUGCUUCUUUUGAAGCCUUUUGAGUUCAAGCAUACUUUAACCCAAAAAUAUAAAUUCACAACCUCAACUUCUCAAGCAUAUAUAAAUUCACAACCUCCUCAAUUUCUCAAGCAUUCACAACCUAAAGAAAAUUAAAGUUAUAAUUCCAAGCAUUCCAAUUAAAGUUAAACUUCUUAAGCAUUCACAACCUCAACUUCUCAAGCAUUCCAAUUCCAAAUCCUUUAAAGUUACAAACCAAAAGGAAAAUGCAAUACAAAAUGAAUUAAAGUUACAACCUAAAGGAAAAAUCCAAUUCAAAGUUAAUUAAAGUUACAAACUAAAAGGAAAAUGCAAUGCACCAAUGUUACAAACUCAAGUGUUGGUGGUGGUGAGUAGAUUUGAAGGACCCCGUUGUAUUGUUUGAGCACCAAUGCUAUCUACAAAUAAAACAACAUAAGUUUAGUACAUUUUAUUAUAAAAAGAAGCAUAAAUAAACUAAUUAUUUUACAAGAUAAGUGGUUUUGUUAUACAACGACUACGAUUAAACAAUAAAAUGCAAUAUUUUUUUUUAAAAAAAUAUAGUCGCGGUUUGCGAUAACCGCAAGUUGUGAAAUCAAAUACCACAAUCGCAACCGCAAAUGCGGUUCGGUUCUUCAUACCGCAAAUGCGGUUCGGUUUCCCGCGAUUGCGGUUAAAUAUCAGUUGGUUUUUGCAAUUUUUCAGUCUAAAAUGCCACCCCUACAUAUCAUCAUACUCAACCCUUGCAUCAUCUUCGCCUUGCAAAACUCAGCCCCUGCAUUUGGUCGAUAAUUUUUUUGCUCAUUAAAUGUUGUUGCGUCAGGUAAGCCAGGUUCUACUUCAUAAUUUUCUCCCCCUUUUUGACUUCUGAUUUUGGAGCUAUCAUAUGAGAAACACUAAAACAAAUAAUUUGCGACAACAUAUGAUAUACCCAUUAUGCAAUUCAUGAGAAUCAAACUCAUUUGGUUUCAAAUUUUUUUUUUUCCAUAAAAGAAAAUAAAAAAGAUGAUUGUAACAUAACUUGCAUAUUGCAAAUUUCUAUGAAAACUAGCCAGUGCCAAUGUCGAGCAGAUAAUUCACGAGCUUCUGGCAAUUCUUUCAUCCUCUUGAGUCUUUCUUUCUCGCUCGUCUCAAUUCACAAUCACCAUUGGAAGGAGUUUAUAAUUUUUCCACUUUUUGGGUACUGGUUUUGGAGUCAUCCUAUUAGAACUUUCAAUUUGUUUAUACUACGGUAGAUGAAAACAAAAAGGAAACAAAGAUUGAAACCAAAUAAAUUGCUUAGUGGGUAUGUGAGUUAUUUGUUCAAAAAGUUCUCACACAAUGGCUCCAAAACCAGCAGCUAAAAAGGAGAAAAAAAAAUUAUGAAGGGGUUGAGUAUGAUAAUAGGUAGCACAGAAGAUGAAGAUGCAAUAUCGAGUUUGUGUCAAACGUAUAUUUUAGUAGUUUUUAAUUAUUUUAAUAAAAACAAAUGGGCUAAAGGGGAGACUUUGGAAAAGCCCAAAGGAGAGAGAAAAUUUUUAAAAGAAGCCAAAAUAGACAAAAUUGCCCUUAUUUUUUUUUUGAUUUCCUAAGGAAUCCUUUACAUUUGCAUGUCUUUGGUUUGAAAGUUGAGAGGUUUUUCUGUCUUUUUUGAAAAAGCUUUGGCUUUUUCCAAAAGUGAAAGUUUUUUUAUGGGUAAAACCUAAAUUUACUUAAAGAGGGGGGAGUUAACAGAGUUAAAAUGAUGUUAAGUGGUGUGCCAUGUGUCACAAAAUUAAAGAGAAAACAAGAGGGCACAGGGGAUUUGAUAACAAGAAAACUGGACUCCAUAGAAGGGAGGAGAAUCUAAGGAUCACCGUAUACGUGUCUCCAUCUUAGAGAAAGGAAACUGAAGCAAAUACAACAAUGCAAAAGUAAUUAGCUGUAGCAAGGGGUGCCCUAAAGGGCAUGGUCUCAUCAACUCCAUCCGUCCCAAUGACAAGGUUGUUCUCAGACUGGGGAAUUAAAAAUCUGGGUAGCGAGCUUGAGAAUCAAUAGCAUCCUCCCAAGUUGCACCUUCUGUUAGAGUAAAUGCAUAUUCGUUUGGUACACCGAAUUAGACUCUGGAUAGGAGUAAAUAGUCUAUGUCAAGUGUUUGGUGUCAACUUGUAUUAUUUAAUUACCCGACUAUUUUAUACGGGUUGGGCUUUUAAUACUCUCCUUACCUGACUAAUUAAUACAAUCCACACAGUCCGGUUUAGAUAAUACACGCUUAAUUAUACGGCUAAGCACGCGUUCUACGAAAAAAAAUCAAACGCUCUUUUCUUCUUCUUCUCCCUAGGGUUUUUCUUUGCUAUCUUCUCCAAAGGUUAUUUUCUUCACUCUUCUCCAGGUAUCCAUCUCUCACUCUCUCUCUCUCUCUCUCUCUCUCUCUCUCUCUCUCUAUCUCUCUCUUUCUCUCUCUCUCUUUCAUACUCUCUCCAAUAUGCUUCUUCUUGCUUCUUCUCUAUUCUUUAUAUAUUUCAAUUUUUUUAUUAAUUUUUUGUGGAAUUAGGUUAUGUAUUUUUCGUUUUUGAAAUUAGGUUAUGCUUACUUACAUGAAUGAAAGCUAAAUCGUAAAAGGACCUAUUUUACAAAUGAGAAACAUUGGACAUGGGCUUAAUGAAUGAAUUGCACAAUCCUAUUACCGAAGCAAAUUAAACCAUUUAAAUGAAUACACAAACUUCACAACAGUAGCAGCAACAGCAAUUGAGUCAUCACCAUUUUCCUUUGGUACCUUUGGUUACGAUUUCUUCUAUAGUGGGUUUGGUCUUGCGUUUGGGACAUUGUUGAUUGGUUAUGGGUGGUGCUGUCCGAAUUCCUUGUUUUAUGUUAUCUUAUGUAUUUUGUUUUUGUUUAGUUUUGAACUGGUCUGGGUGAGAAGCUUGGUUCUAGCCUUGGUUUUGAGGUCUAGGUGCCUCUACCCGGUUUUUGUGACUUGCUUUGUAAUCUAUUUUUUCUGGGUUUCUUUAAUGAGAUCAGAUUUCAACCCACACCAAAAAAAUAAAUAAUAAAAAAAAAAUAAGAGGAGGCUCUCUUUAUAAAAACCAACAUUGAUGUCAAUGAUGAUGAUGAGGAAGUUGAGGUUGAACCAGAUCAUUCUGCCUCUUUGCCAAUAUCAAAUCAACAAAACUCAGCUAGCUCAAGCAGUCGACACCGCAAACGAAAUGUAGAUACUGAUAUUCAAAAGGAAAUGGCUAAAGCAUUUGGUGAGAUGAUUUCUGAGUCUAUUGACCAAUUGAAAACUAUAACUAAUAGUUUGGUGAAAGGAUCAGAACCAAGACCUGACAUUGCUGCUAAAUUGGCAAAGAUGGACUUGUCUAUUAAUGACCAAAUUAAGGCACUACGGCUAAUUUUGGAGAAAGCAAGUGAUGAAAGAAUAUUCUUGACAUUGGAUGGUGCUAUGAGAAAAGCAUUUGUUCUUCUCUUACUUGGGGCGAGGGAGCUGUGAUUCACUCUUUGAUGUAGUUUGGUUUAGGAACAACUUUCCCUUUUGCUCUUAUCACCUUAGUAUGUGAUCACUUUGAAUUAUACAUUAUUUGGUACUGUUUUUAUUAACGUAUGCGAGUAUGUUGGAAUUUUUAUGAGAUACUACAAUUAUGAUAAUGGGUUAUAUGAAGGAAAAAAUAUUGGCAAAAAUAAUUGAAAAACAAAUCUUGUCAUAUGAAUCUUACCAAAAAAAAUUUGUGUAAUUUGAAUCUCUAUUUUCAUUAAAAUUAUCAAAGAAAUUUUUUUUAUUUUAAAAAUAGUCUGAUCUGAUGUUAUCCGAAACAUCACCAAACACAAUAUAACUUAGUCAGACUAUUUGUCCGGAACAGCACCAAACGCCUUAUAAUAUUAUGGAUAAAUAGUCAGUACUCUCCGGAACAAAUUAAUACUAUCCGACGAAAAUUAGUCAGUACAGUCCGACGUACCAAACGAGCCCUAAAUGCAGAGACUCAGGAUCCGCCUUCCACGCCAAAUGCAAAACAUGUAUACAAAAUGCAAGGUUUUGUUCUAAACAAAUCAGGAUUCAGGAGUACUUUUAAUCUUUAAAAAUGCUCCAAUUCUAAGAAGGAAAUUUUUUUUCAACCACCACUACUCACAAUAAAAUCUGGGUUUAGUUUGAUUGGGUCUUGUGCUUUUGCUAUUUUCCUCUUGAUUUUUCAUAUUAAUCAAACAUAGAUCUUGGAUAAGGAUUUUGGUGAAGAAGACAAUGGAGGGGAGAAGACUUGCAAGUGAUGAUUCAAGAUUGAAGAAAGCAAGCCAGAGAAGUCAUUUUUGUCGAGAUUUAUGAAGAUGCCUCCCCAGUUUGUAUUUAUUCUUAUGUGUUUAUUACAUAAAUUUGCACUCGUUCUUAUUUUUGUUAGAUAUUUUGAAUAGCAUCUAAUGCAAAAUAGUAGAUUUGUGGGCUCACCGAGUCUUUAUUUUUAUUUUUUCUUGUCUGAAAUCAGACUUGAGUUUGUUUGAGAGCACAACAAAUAAGCAAAGUUUGCUGGAAGGCAACGCCUGGUCAUUCUUUUGAUGAUUUCCAAAACUAAAUACCCAAAAUCAGAAAGGAGUGUGCAUGGAAUACCUCCAAUUCAAUUUAUAAGCCCACCCAAUAACCAAAGUAUAAAUUAGUCGUGGAGCACUCUUUUCAGAUUAUUCUUUUGAUUGAGCAUACCUAACUACUAGGAUUCAUAUAAUAAAUAGUCUAGUCCCAUUAACAUUUUACAGUUUUUAGAACAUGAUCAUCAAAUUUAGAUGGAGAUGCUGUUAGGAACUCCCAUUCCUGUGACCCCAGGUGUUGAGAAUGGCUUCAAAAGCUCAUAUGGAACAACACCUGCUCCAACUCUGUUUUUCAGUUUCAAGUUGGUAUUCCUCUCAUCAAUAAUUCCUUCCAGCCUCUUCAAAUUUCCAUUGAACCGCUCGAAUGCAGCAUUUAUCACAGGAUUUUCAGCCCAGGAUGACUCCAGCUUCUCACCAACAUACUCCUCAUCAGGUGAAUGAUUAGAUAACACAUCCAAGACAGCCAUCACUGUUGUUGCUUGAAUCUGUGAGGGGAAGCACAUCAGCAGUGCCAUUUCGGGUCUCUUCAAAAAGUUCUUGAAAAACUCCUCAGACGGAUUUUCAGUUGGCAUAUUGGUACGAGCGAUUGUAGGCUUGUUUGGGAAGUAUCCACCAUACAUGUACUGUCCAAAGUUCACAGCUGCAUGAUGCCCAGCUGUUACCCAAAUAAUGGUUGUCAAAAUGUGAAUUAGAUUUUCUGGGGUUUUCAAAACAGGCCACCAUGGCUCAUCUUUCUUGUCUGCAUGGCCUUUUGUCCUAACUUCUGUCCACCAACCUUGAAGCUCCGUAUCAGACUCAACAAGAGUUGGGUCUGGAUAGUAGUGGUUUACAUAGUCACCCACCCACUCCUUAAUGGCAUCCCAAAGAAUGAGACCGUCAUUUGCAAAUGGGUAGUCUUCAAUUGUUAGCUUCAAGCCAUGCUCAGCUGUAGGAUCCUCAACUGCCAUUCCCCUGAAAUUAAAGCACACAGUAAUUAGCCGAUGAACUUCCAUGGCGAUUCAAAUGAAGUUUUUGUCUUUUAAGAUUGGUAGCAACUAGAUUGCAAAUCAGCCGUAUCAUAUGAAAUACCUUCUGAUCAAAUCAGCCGGCAAAGCUUGCAUGUCAAAGCGCCAGAGCUGGUCAUAAGCAGCAGAACUGAGCUCCAUGGAGUACUUUGCAGGUGAGAAGCUGCUCUCGAUGACUCCACCUGCAUUGAUGAGGCUUUCUCUAGCAAGAGCAUUGAUUUCCAUUGUAUACCGAAAAUGAGGAUGCAGAAGUCUAUAGAUAGGAUGCAUUGCACUUAAUUGUCGAUUAGCUGCAAUUAUGUAUGGCUCUGUAGCACAAUGAGUCCUCAGCCUGUGAAAAUAUAACAGUGCAAACAUGUUACCAACCAUGCAACACUGACAUACUUGCUACUUUUCAAAUCCCAAUUAGAGUAGAUUCUUGCUUGAACUGAAGGCAUGAGCUAAAAGCACCACUUGGGCACAGAUUUGCUUACCAGUGGAUGACAAGCUGAUGAUAGCCAGCAUCAUGAGCACAAACAUGGGCUUUAGCGAGCCUCCACAGCCAGCGACCGGUGGCAUCCCAUGUUGGGGUGAACACUUGCUUCCAUUGUGGAUUGUCACCAACCGGUGGUCGAGUGAGUUCAAUGGCAACAGGCCUCAGCGUCCCAUCCUCGGUGAGGAAGAGUAGUGUCCGAGAACCAUACAGUGUGGUUCCUUCAAUCUCUCUUACUUUGUUCACAUAAGGCAUGUAAAGAUCAUGGUAAUCCAAAAUAAACAUCUUCUUUCUUUUUAAAGCCUGCAUUUCAAGUUCAAGCAAUUGGCGUGCACAAGGACACACACAGUUUACACGAUUUCAAGUUUUAUGCAUCAAUGGGGGAAAAUUUUCGUCCAGUUUAAAGGUGUGUAAUAAGAAAAAUAUAGGAGAGUUGGUGUCUAUUUCGUGUUACCUCAUCGACAGUCAUACAACCUCUGAUCUCUUUCUCCACCAGUUCUGUUGUAAUCAAUGAUUCAGGUGGGCCGUAAAUCUCAGGGUCAAGUUUACUCUUCAAUGGCCACUCCUGCAGGUAUAAAAAAUGAAAAAUACAGAAUUUAGCACCACAAGAGAAAACAAGAUAUGCUAUUAAACACUGUAAUUACUUGACCAACAAGGAGGAUGGACGGGAGGAAGGGAACGUAGAAGUUUGAUUUUCUUACUGAAGAGAAAGAGUUGUACUUGUAUGUAUAAGAAAGCAUACCGUGACAAGUUCUAUACUGUAUGGAUUAAGACCAGCUAGAGUUUGCCGAGAAAAUUCUUCAUCUCUAAACCAAGCAAACCUAUCACCUGUAAAAGACGAUUAGCUUAAUCAAAAGGACAAAGACAAUCUGGUCUUUUCUCUUACUUAAAAAAGGACACAGACAUACAUACACAGAGAGAGAGAGAGAGAGAGAGAGAGGAGGAAGGCAUACGGUUAAUUAUUUCGGGGGUCUCGAAGAGCAAAAUAUCGUCUCCCCCUUCAGUAAUGGUCUUGACUAGCCUUGGGAUGACUGUCUGAAAAAACCCACCGGUUUUUGGCUUAGGCAAUGUGACUCCUUCAUUGAACAGUGAAUCAAUGGCUGUGAAGUAUGGAAAUCCUAAGUCUGGAUUAAUAAGCGCUGUCUCAAGCGAAGGGAGCAACGCGUGCAGCACAGAUUUCAGGGUCUUUCCUGAAAAAGUGAGUUGUUUGACCUCUGAAAACGCUUCAUCUCUUGGUACAUACACACUGCUGCUUCUUUUUUCUGAUAAGGGGUCUGCGUUGACAUAACAAUAUGAUACAGUUAAUCGCAUAGCUCUAAUAGUUUCUCAACCAUACAACUACACAUGCUUAAGCAACAUACCAAAUAAACAAAUGGCUCAUAUAGUAAAAGUAGUAAAUAUAUUCCAUUUUCAAAACAUUACGCACAUAGUUAUUUGGGGAAUUUGGUUACCUUUUUUGGUGCGUGGCCGUCCUGUUCUGCAGCGCCUGGGAUAUGGAUGUUCUUUGCUGCCAAGGACAGGCCUAGCCAGUUCCUCUUUGCUAUCAGGAUCCCCAAGAUCAUUGUAUGUGUCAUAAUCGUAAAUCCUAUCGGAUGUUUUUCUUUCACCCUCUCCAUUUCCUCGCAAAUUUUCCAGCUCUAGUUCUCUUAGCCUCUUCAACCCACUUGGUGUCUCUGAUGGUAUGUAAGACUGCUCCAUUGUUCACAUAAAAUAAAUGAACGCACAUAAGAUUGAAGUAUAAGUAAGUUUAAGAAGCUGUAAUUACUAGAAAUUAAAGAAAGUAUUAAGGAUGUAAACCUUGUUAGUGAAAAAGAUUCUCUUCUGUGGAUUGUCAAACUUGGCAUGAACCCAAGAAUUGCAUGGCACAUUAACAGAGCCAUUUGGGAAGCCCUGGAGGUCGAUGGUCUUGAUGAAGAUCUCGUUGUGGUGCUCAUUCUCUACCUCAAUUGCUCCAACCGCUCCAAAACCUGCUGGGAUUGUGAAAUUACUCUCAUAUAUCACCUCAUCAUCUUUGUGGCUGGCUUUGUUCGCGUACCCCUUGAUCCUGUCCUUCUCCAACCCCGUCCCUACAAGAAAAUCCAUUUUACAAAUAUAUAAUCAGUAAAUUACAUAUGUAGGUCUUAUCAUAGUAAAAAAAUGUGUAAGAUUAGGAGUAUGAACAUUUAAAUGGAAUACAAAUAAUUCUAUUUUGUCCAAACAAAACCUUCAUAGUUUGACCAUAACCAUCAAAUUGUUCCAGCGUCACUUGAUUUUGAUAUAAAUUACUGUAUUAAUCAAGCAACAAAAUUGCUGUUACUGAAAAACAAUUCUUUUUAAAAGGAAAAAUAGAGGUGGAGUAGUGUCAUGUCGGAUUCAAGUAGUGCCGAGUUAUCAAACAGGUCAAAAAUCUCCAACCCAAUAUAACUCGUUUAAGUAUAUGUUCAAUCCAAACAUGACCCGUUUAUUAAACGAGUAACACGACAUGACCCAUUUAACCCUUUUAUUAAAUGGGCCGGGUUGAAUUAUUAUUUUGAUUAAUCUAUUAACGCGUUUAACCCAUUUAACACAUAUUUCUUGACGAAAAAAAUAAAUUGUACUUUGUUUAAACCCUUUUAACCCAUAAUCUUAUUUAAUAUAUUAAAUAUUCAUAUCUAUCAAUAAUGUAACUCAUAUAUUGUAGGAAAAAAAAAUGUAACUCAUAUAUACUAAGAGACUUAUGAUAUAAUCUUGAAAAUAUUAUACAAACAGACAAAUUUAAUGUUAAAAAGAAUUUUUUUAACCCUAUAAAAUUUAAACUAACAAAAUUAAACAUGUUAAAUGUGACGGGUUGUAAACGGGUUGAGCAGCUUGAUAAACGAUGAUGAGUUGACCCAAACUCCACCUAUUUUUUUUUUAUCAUGCACAAUUUUAUUAAAUGUGACGGAUUGAUCCGCACAAUUUUACGUUGAUUAUAAGUCGUUUACUGGAUGGUGUGGGGAAUUACAAGUUACAACCCCUACUUUGAGGACAUAUUAUUUGAUACAAAAAUGACACAAUAGAUAUUUUACUCUCUUUGGUUAAGAAAAAGAAUUCACUUAAUAGUAACGUAAAGUAAGAAGAAGGCUAGAAGGAGAAAAUGAAGGAUGAGGGAGAGAGCAAAAGAAGAUGACAUAAUAGAUAUUUUAGGUAAACUGCUGAUUGGCUGAUUUGAAUCUCCUCCAAAUUUAUUUUCUUUUUAUUAAAAAAAAAAGGCUAUUUUUUGAAUGGCUGACUUUUGGCUACUCAAAGACCCAAGGAACAAUGAACACUUAAUUAUUAUUAGAGUAAUGCUAUUUAGACACACAACAUUGACCACCUUAACUGACCAUCUUAUGUGGCAACUGAUGUGUCAUGUCGUGUCAAUUAAUGAAUGUCGCCAUGUCAAUUAAAAAAUAAAUUAAAAAACCCUAGCAUUUUAUUUAUAACAAACAAAGAAAAAUGUAACUCUAAAUUAUUUUUGUAUAUGCAAAAUGGAACAAAAAUAAAAUUUGUGCUCAUGUAUCUUUUGGCCGAAAAAACUUAAUGUUUUCUUUUCUGAAAAGAAAAAAGAAGAAGUUAGAACCAGGCUUUUGCUUGGUAUAUCUCUAGUUUGUUGGUGAAUAAAAAAGGAGGUAAAAAAAUGAAAAUAGAAAACACUUAGAAGUUAAAAAAAAAUAAAAAAAUCUAAGGAUGAUUUGAAAACCUAUUUUUCACUUUUUUUAAAGGCUUAUUAUCACAAAACGUCCCUAAGAUUUACGAAACUAUCAGAUUGCAUCCUUAAUAUUUUUUAAUCUUGAGGACUAUUUAUGAACCCUAAACCCUUAGUUUUUUCAUUUUUAAAUUUUAUAAAUUUUAAAUUAUUUUUUAAAAACUCCAUUAGUUUGUUGAUGUGGCAUAUAUAUGGAGCCCACAUCUACAAUAAUAUAGUGUCACAUGUAUUUAAUAUAUAUUUUAUAUUUUAAAAUAAUUUAAAUUCAUAAAAUUUUAAAAAGAAAACCAAAAUUUUAUGAAUUUUAAAUUAAAAAAUAAAAAAAUUUCGUAAGGACCAUUUAUGAUAGGUGUGUGAACCUCAGGGAUGUUUUGUGAUAUAUAUGUGUGCCACGUCAGCAAACUAAUGGAGUUUUUGAAGGAACUUAACGGCAGGGACCAUUUGUGAUUGCACAUACUAACCUUGAGGACCAUGAGUGACACAAAAAAACUUUAAGGAUGCAAUCUGAUAGUUUUGUAAACCUUAGCAAUGUUUUGUGAUAAUAAGCCUUUUUUGAAAACUGAAAACGAAAAUUAUUAUAAAAAAAUGUUUUCGGUUUUUAGAAAAAGUAAAAAUGAAAUGGUUAUCUUAUAAAAUGAGGAUUUAUAUGUUUUCUUUUCUAAAGAAAAAUAAAACUAAUUAGAAUUAGUUUUAUGCCUAUAUAUAUUUCGACGUUGUUGAAGGAUGUUGCGAGUUCAAAAAUCUCAUUAAUAAUAAUAAAUAUCAAAUAAAUUUGAUUUUUUAAAUUUUUCAGUGAAUGAAGGGAAUAAAUUCGUGUGCAAUUAGUAGUGCUUACUGGGGUCAAGCUCGGCACUAACAAGCUCCAAAAGAAGGCUUUUGCCGAACAAAUCGGUAAAGCCAUCGAGGGGCCCAGUCACUAUGCUGGAGAGGAGCCCUCCUGCUGUUUCCUGCACUGUAACCACAGCCUUCACACUAACUGACUUGUUCUCUGUUGAGGUUGUAGGUACGGUGGCGGUGACAGCUGAUGCAGACGAUCCGAGCUGAUCAUCAGAACUGGCACGGAUCACCACGCAGGAGGAGGAGUUUUUCUUAUUAUUAUGAUUUUGACAGACAGGAUGGCGUGGAAGGGUGUUGAUGAGGGAAGGGCUUCCACGCCUGAUCAGAUAAUUGGUAUGAAUGGAGGAUUUUGGUAAGAGAGAGAAGGAUGGAGCAUGGUUGAGUUUUUGCAGCUGAGAGUUCAUCAUGUUUCUCUGCUAGUUUGCCUUUUCUUUGGCUAGAAUGUUCAUGCAUUUGUAGAUAUUUAUAGAGAGAGAGAGAGAAAGAGAGAGAGAGAGAGAGAGAGAGAUCUAGCUAGGUGUACCGCUUGAAUAAUACAAGAAAUUAACACGAGGAACAUAGAAAAGAAAACGAUUGGUCUUAUUCAUGGAUUAAAAGAAUACUACUAGUAGCGGUAAAUAAUUGGUCCCCUCUGUUUCAAGAUUCUUUUUUCAAAUUCACAUGGCAUCCCUUAAUGCCUUAGCAGAAGGAAGAGGCAGAAGGGCUUUUUCAAAUAGUCUCACUCAAAAAAAACAGAAAAAGGGUUGAGAGUGUUCUGUUGUCUGCAUUUUGUAAAAUAUGGAGCAUCUAAAUAAUCUAAGGGAGAUUGGCCACAUUGGAUACCGAAGUUAGGAAGGCAAUGGGGAAAACUCACACACACGGAUAUCGUAAGGGAUUGAACCCAUAAUCAUUUGACCGCACACCAAAGACCUGUGCCAAUUCAAUUAACAACCUAUUAAUAAACAAAGAUAUAAUUAGGUAUAGUAGAAAUAACCGCUCUUACCUUUAAGCCGUUUCUAAUUCAAUAUUUACGUUUUUUUUUGGAAAAGGUUUCUAAUUCAAUCAUUGAAUUUAAAACGAAGAAGACUAUCAACUGUAUGAGUUAUUAUCAAAUAGAACCCUAACCUUCGGCUGCACUUUGCACCAACGGGCUGGCCCUUUUUUUUUAGUAUUAUUAUAUAUUUAAUGUGUUUUUUUUUUCUGUUGAUUUGAACAUAAAACAUAUAGCUGCAAGACAAACAUGUCAAAUAGGUAAGUGCAAAACAAAGAUGUAAAAUAUUAUUUUAUUACUUACAUACAACCUUUGGGUUUGCUGCAUGUGUUUCACUCGUACAUACACUGCCAGAUACUUUUCAUCUUUCUAGCUAUGUGUUCAUCUUUAACAAUGUAAGAAAUUAACACGGGAAGGAAAAAGGAGGUUUACUUUGACUUGCCCUAAUAGCACACGUGUUUGUUCUUUUGAAACGGGGGACCAUUGUAGUGUGGGGAUCAUUGUAGAGUGGGGACCAUUGUAGUUGCAAUCUGAUUAAGAUUAAUGGGGAGUGGGUGAUGAUGACAUGUAUGAAAUUACCAUGAUGUUUUUGUCACGUCAUCAAAGUUGACUGAGUUAUGAAUAAAGAUGAUGAUACGAGCAAAUUAGAACAUCAAACCUUAGUAAGGGGGCAAUAUGAGCUACUUGAACUUUCGGAAGUUAAGAUAAAAUUUGAACAUAAUUUCAGGAGUACUACAGUAAAUAGGAAAUAAGCUUAUGAGAAAAUGAAGAAUAGUGCAGUGGGAAGGGAGUUAGUUAAGAGAAUGCAACAUGAGAUAAAGUAAGUCAGUGGACAGAAUGCAAAGGGAAAAAUGAGAUUCAUGUGUAAUUACAUAAGGAAAAAAAACAAUUAAGCAAUUUAAUUAUAAUCAGCUAAGUUCUCUGCUCUCCCAAGAGCUCUGCUAUAUUCAAAACUUCAAAUUCACAUGGCAUUCCAUCCCUUAAAUCCCCUAACAAAAGGGAGGAAAAAAAGAGUUUUUUCAAUCUCUCAAAAUUGUGUUUAAUAUCUUCAUUUUUAUGAGUUUUUUAUUUUUAUUUUUUUAGUAGUCACAUUAUAGAGGGAAGAGUCAUUCACUCAAAUUUCUUUUAAAUAUAUAUAUAUAUAUUGUGAAUAUCCAAGUUUUCAACCACCAUUAUAAUCUAAUUAUGUUCUCAAGUUCGAAUCCCUUAGAUACUUUGGCAAUGCGUGUGCGAGAAAAAUCUCUUCCCUCUUCCUAACUUCGGCAAAAAAAAAAAAAAAAUAUUUGUCCCAUAAACAUUUAAACAAUUUUUCUUAAUAUAAAAACCAGGUAGGCCAAAUAUCUACUGUCUCUGUUAUCUAGAAGGAAAAUUACAUUAUGGAGAUUAGGCUUAAUUGUUUGUCCUUAUACUUUCACAUGAAUCUCAUUUUCUCCUCUACACUGUCAAUUGACUCAAUUUGCGCUUCUUGUGCUUUUAACGAGUGUUCAUAUUUUUCUAGCCACAAUUACAUACAGAUAAGCUGAUGUACUGUAGAAAGAUAAGUUCCCAUGCCCCGGUGAUGUAUGCUCUUCUCGAGGUCACCAUCCAACUUGAUAUAUCUUUUUUUCAGUUAUUUACACUAACACCCCCAUAAAGUUUUCGGCUUUUUCCAAAUCUUCCUAAGGUUUUAAAUUGUUUUCACAAAACUCUUUUUCAUUGAUUUUUCAUCCAAAGAUUGAUGGUUUUAUACAAAAAAAAAAUUUCUUGAAAUGACAAAGUAGGUCUUUGAGAUUAGAUUGCAUAUACUUCAUUGUGGUUAAUUUUGUCAUUUGCAUAAUUUUUUGUCAAUGAAAUUAUCAAUUUUUGGACCAACAAUCAACGAAAAUGGGUUUUGUGAAAACAAACUGAAACCUCAGAGGGUGUUCGUGUAAUUUUUAAAACUUAAAAGAAUUUUAUGAAAACACAAAAAAUCUCAGAGAGUGUUAGUAUAAAUAACUAUAUAUAUAUAUAUAUAUUUUUUUUUCCCUUUUUGGUUUGUAAGACAUGAUGUACCUUUUUUUUUUCCAUUUCAAAUAUAAUAGGGUUUUCUUUAUUUUUUAUUUUUUUUUAUUUUUUAUAUAUGUUCGACCUCCAAUUCAUUAAUGGGAUGACAAUGACAUCAGAUACUUCAACUUUAUCUUCAAGGAAAUAUCCAGCUUCAACCGUGUGGCUACUGCUUUGAGAAAAAUUAAAAAUGUUUAUGUGAUUUGAAAAAGAAAAAAAUCAUCACCAAUUUUAUUCAUUAGAGCAUCCACAAUAGUUGUUUAAUAAUUCAAUUAUUUUGACAUCUAUUGAAUUGAAUUGAAGUUUUACUUGCAAUAAUACAGUUUAAUAGUUUCAGUUUAUUGGCAUGUGAAUCCCAUGAUUAACCUAUUCAAUAGAGGGUUCAUCACAUAACACCCUAUAUUGCAAUGAACGAAAUCACACAAUUACAAAUAAUAUUUUAUUAUUUUAGUUAAAUUUCAUACAAUAAAAUUAUAUUGAUCUCAACCAUUGCAGAUAGUCUUAUUAUAUCUAUGAAAGAGAAAAAACAGGCCAAGAAGUACUGUGAGUUGGACCACCACCCCUGUGUAACACCUGGCGGUAUCUCUAAUUACUGAGGUGGAGAGGUUUGGAUAGAUUAUUAGGUUGGCAGCCUUAUAGCAAAUGUAGAUGUGAUAGAAAUUGUUUUCAUCCUAUUCUAAAAAAAGCAUGAUUAUCAAGAUGCACGAGGAAGUAAAGUCUUGAUAUAAUGGUCCUGCAGUUUGUGUGGCCGGCCGGACUAAGAAUCUACAAACUUUAGUAUCAGAAAGUUGACAUGUAUUGUCUUUGUCUGGACUGGGAUAAAAGUAUUGGUGGUUGAAAUCCAAGUUCAUUACAUGCAAGAGUCUUCAUACAUUUAAUCUGUAUUGAAAAAAAGCAUUGUUUCUUUCGUUAUAAACAUAUUAAUCACAUUCAUCGACUGAAAAUGUGAACACGUAGCUUUCCAUGCCUAAAUUCAUAAUCCUUCACCAAGAGUUAAAAACAUAUGAAUCACAUUCAUUGACUAUAAUUUAUUUUUUUGUUGUGUGAUCAUUCAUUUUAGAUCAGCUUAGAACAUAUGUGAGUGUCAAUGAAAUGUAGCAGCGGAAAAAAAGAAUCUUAAAUUGGAUGAUAUUAGAUUGAAAAUGAUAACACUAAUCCAAUGAUUUUUUUUUUCUUUAAACCCACGCAUUAUUCAAUAAAAUAAUAAAAUCUACUAGAUUUGUUUCUGUUCGCAUGUGUGCAUAUAUAGAAUUCCAAAAAAAUUUAGACCUUUAUUACCAUAAAGAAUAUUUGGACCUCAUAAAAGAUAUCAUUACUUUUAUAUAUAACCAAUGAUUGAACACAAGAAAUAAGCAAAAACAAAUCAUAGAUUGAAAGCAAUAGGACAGUUUAAAGUAGUAAAAAGUAUAAAGGGGAGUUGAACAUCAUAUGUUAAUUAUAUCAGCACACAAACUCCGUCCGUAGGUUAGUCUUUUAGUUGCUAUUUUAUUUUACUUGCCUAUUUGUAUGUGCAGCUUUUCUGUGCAUGAUGUAUAAUUUUACUACCUGAAAAUUAGAUAGUUAAAUUCAAGAAAUAAACUUGCAAACGCACAAGGUUAAUGCAAUAUAGUCAAGGUAAGUACAAGAUCGUUCCCACAAAGAUUGAAUAAAUUCUCAAGUUGUUGUGAAUUAUAAACUAAUUUAAAUCCUAAAUUACUCUAGACACCCUAAUUAAUAAACUUAAAACUAAUGACUCAACUAAAACUUAAUAGAGGAGUUUUGAAAGUUGGUUUUGAAAGAUUUUCUUUGAGAGAACGUUGAAAACAAGAAAAUUAAAAGACAAGAUAAUAAGGAAAAAUGUGAACUAAAUAAGUUUGUGAAAGAUUUUAAAGAAUGGGCAGCUUAGCAGUCUUCAAAAAUUAUGAAAAUAUUCAUGGAUAAAAUUCAAGAUGCUGUCUUCCAUCUCCAAUUAGAAUCAUAUCAAACUUUAUUACGAUGAAUAUUUGGCGAAUUUAUACAUUUCGUGGCUCAUAAGCUGAAAAACCAGGAAAUAACUAAACUCAGCAUCUUUAGUCCAAAUUAAUUCACAAAACUAAGUAAAAAAGAUAUAAAAUCAUGUGAAAUUAUGAACAUAUCAGUGCAUAUAAGAGACCCUUUUUCAUCACACACACAAUACGUGACUUCAAAAGCUUUUUAUCCAUUUUAUUACAAUUGUAUUUUUUUUAUGUGCGUCUUAAAAGUUUCUUUUAUCACACAAAUUAAAUGUCACAAAAAAUAGUGAAAUAGAAACAACUUUUAAUACGCAUCAUAAAAACAAACUUUCAAGAUGAUGAUUGAUGAGGCCUUUUCUAAUCACGCCCCUACAGGGCGGAGGGACGUAAAAGCCUAUGAGGGGCAUGAGCCUGCUCUCAAACUUGUUUUGAACCCAAGUUUUCAUAAUAAAUUAUAAAAUUUUCGUGAGUCGCCCUUUCUUCGUGAUAUUCUUCACUCUCUUUUUAGCUGACAUGUGUACCUCUUUUAAAGUUCUCUUCUAAAUCCUAUUAGAGAGAGAUUGAAGUGAUUACCCUUGUAGUUAUAUCUUGAGCUAAGAUCUAAAGAUUGAUCAUCCUGGGGAGGACCUACAUCCAAAGAGAUUCUCCAAGAAAGCCACACAAGUGCAUGACUUUUAACUUCAUACACCGUCAAUUCCACUAAUAUUCUGUCAAUUUUAAAUAAUAUUAUGUCAAUUUCAAAUAAUAUUCCGUCAAUUCCAAGUACCAUGUAUGUUAUAACCUCGUAGAACUCGGGAGACAGGCAGCCUGAGAACGCACAUUUUCGCAGAAUUCGGGGGACAUGUAGUCAGCCUAAGAACACAUAUCCUAACACCACACGAUACAGGCGUCCCCGAGACUUGUGGAGCAUUAUCAUAAAUGACUAAACUAUUCCAAAGGCAACUGGGAAGGUACUCAUAUGGUGAGUUUGAAAAACAUAUUCCGAAACUUAUCAUAAAAUUUCUCUUACUCCACAAAUCCACUUUCACAAAUGCAUUUUCCAAAUCUUUUCUCAACUUUCAAAAAAUCAGUUUUUAACUGGGUAGCCAAAAUCCCUUCUCAAGCAUAAAGUUCAUAAAGAUAAAAAAAAAAUUCACAAACCUUAAUAUCAAAUUAAAGUCCGAUAAUCACAUAACAUAAUCUCGUAAACCCGUCAAGACCCCAAAAUAAUUCAAAUAAUAAUAAAAAUAAAUAAUGUUAAACAAUACCCUUAGAGAUCCCAUAUCCUUAUUAACCCAAAUUAAAUUAAUUUUCAAUCAAAACCCAUUUAUGCAAGAAAUUCCAUAUUUGAAGAACUAAGUACACUUAAAAACAAAUGUCCACUCAUUUCCCAAUAAUCAAAGCCGAGUCCCGAGACUCACUUUCACAACCCACCAACAAGUAUCCUAUACUCAUAUAUCUCAUAACUUCCAAUAUUGCAUAAACUUCAAAUAUCAAAAUAAUAUCCAAGAAUACCAUUAAAUACUAUAACAUAAAUUCAUAAUCCCAACAUAAUCAAAAUAACUCUAAUAACAGUCAAGCCUCGUUUAUAAGAUUGUUCUAGUACUUCGCAAAGGAUGAAACUACCUCGGAAGACUCUCGGUCAAUUGAGGGAUCAAAUUUCCCAUAUUGGUCAACUACGCCCGCGGGGCCCAUGACAUUCGAUUUUCAAUCCGAAAGUUCCUACAGGUUCAGCCAAGUCUACUAAACAUGUCUGCAAGUUUGGUCUCGAUCGAGCGGUCAGAUCGCUCACGAUCGCACGGUCACCGUUUUAUAUAAUCUUUGAAUCACUGAAUCGGAGCAUCCAGGAUUCCGAUUCUCAAUUCGUAAGUUCCUACACGAUCCUAGAUCAACAUAUUCGGAUCGAUCCAACAGUUCGAACAUAUCGAACCCGGAUGUCGCCUAAUAUGUAAAAAAUCUGUUUAACUGUCAAACGAUAACCAAAUUCGAAUUCGAAUAUGGCAUUGUGGUCGGGACGACAUGAGGAUCAUUUGAGGACCAAAUGAGGACCAAAUGGGCCACCCAAACUUGGCCCACUCGCCGGCAGCGCGUGGUUGGCUUGAGAAAAUUUUGGCAACCAAAAAAUUCUCAAAACACCCAACAAUACCCACACCUACGUGAUCAGGACAACUAGUGGAGCAAUUUUUGUUCUUGGGCCAUAACCAAAAAGUGGCUGGAACUUACCGGAAAUUCGAGCCUAAGAUGGGUCAAAACUUUGAUUCGUAAUUCGAGUUUGAAAACUUGAAAAUCGAUCCUAACCAACCAAACCAUCAGCUAAGUCAUGUUGAAAGGAUGAAAAAGGAUACUUGGAUCGACAAAUUUGUUGACCGGAAUCGUCGAAAACGACGACGGAAAGUUUUGAGAAAAUCGGAACUUUAUCGAGCUACCGCCGGCGAAGGAGUGGCUAAGCUCAUCGGAGAAGGGGAGGAACAUGUAGAGGGAGUUGAGCCGGUUCUAACGCAAGUGGUUUCAUGGCCAACAAUGGCCGGACGAGGCAGCAAUCUUCUUUGGAAAAUGACGACAUCAUGCGGCUAAAACAAGGGAGAGAGAGGUUUGAGGGAGAAAGAAUCUGGUUUUUUUUUUUAAUUUAAAAAAAAAAAUAUGACUUUGAAAUAUUAACAGUUGUGCCACUGCACUUUUGUUGACCAUAACUUCUUCGUUAAAACUCCGAUUUGAGUCCACUACGUGUUUACGAACUCGUAUCGACGUGCUGUACACAACAAUUGUAUUCAAAUUCCCAAAUUCUUUCCCAAACAAAAAGUCAAUUUUUAAACCCAUUAAAAUACUAUGAGGGUAAAAUCGUCUUUUACUUGAAAAAUUUAAGAAUUAAAUAUUAAUUUAGGGAUGUGAUAUUACAUAGAGUGCCCUCCCCAACCACGGGGUAAGGGGCACCAUUAGCAUUAAACACCACCGACUAAGGUUGGCGGCGAAUAAAUUGGUCAGGAUUGAAUGUCAUGUGAUCCGUAGCACCCGAAUCAAUAAUCCAUGCAGGCUUUUGAGAUGACGUAUGAAAAGUAGAACCUUUGGUGGUGGAGAUAGAAACACGAGCUCGGAUAGCCGGUUCAUCAUGAUUGGCCGCAUGCUUCUAUGAGUCUGCAAGGAGGGAGAGAAUCGUAGGGGGUUCUGACAUCACAUCGGAAGUAAGAUUUGGUAUGAGUGUGUGUUUGUGGUUAAGGAGUUGAUUUAAGAAUUAGAGGUAUUUGAUUUAAGGAAUUUGACGAAUAUGAUUUGAGGACUUUGAUGUAUGAAUUUGAUUUAGGAAUUUGAUUUGAAAGGUAUGUGUUUAAGGAGUUUGAUAAGAGGAUUUGAUUUGAGGGUUUAGGGGCAACCUAUGAUCGAUUGCUCUGAUACCAUGCUAAAAUAUGAAUUGGUUUGAAUACUUUAUGUUAAUUGUUUUAUUCUCCAUAAGGAGGUAUAUAUAGAAGUUUACAAGAGUGCUGCUUUAUAAGGAAACAGAUACAGUAAUCAAUUAGGAGAAUAUCUCUUAAUUAUACAAGGAUAUGUCAAUUAUAUCAAAUAAGGAAGUAAAUCACCUAACUAAUCAAGAAAAUAAAUCUCCUUGACUAAUUAUGAUAGCUCAUGUCAACGGUUUACAAUAAUAUGGGCACCAAUUUUUUGUUACCAUUUUAUAUGGCAUAUGAUAUGGAUUGCCAUUUCAUGUGCCACAUCAUCCUUUUUAAUAAUUUAGUCAAUUUUUUAUUUGGGUUUUUAAUUGUAGACGUCCCUAAACUUUGCCUCGAUUUGCAAUUGGGUCCCCGAACUUUUUUUUUUGGAGGCAAUUACAUCCAUUAACUUUACAAAUAGUUCCAAUUAGGUCAUACCGUCCAACUCUGUCAAUUUAUCAAUAAAAAAAAGCGUCUUUUCGGAUUCUUCGUCCAUCAUCAACCCCAACUCCACCUUCUUCAUCCAACACUCCCAUAUAAAACUAAGAAAACAAAACCUAGAAGAGAAAUGAAGUAGCUAGCUAGUGAGUGAGACAUUAGUGAUUAGUGUGUCUAAAAUGGAGCUAGGGGGAACUAGCAAAAGCAACUCAUCUUCCUCUGCCCUGCUGCUGCUCUCUCUCUCUCUGCAAAUUCAAAAAGUAAAAAAAAAAAAAAAAAAAAAAAAAAUCGUACCCGGGUUGGGGGUGGGGGGGGGAAGGGGGGUGUGAUGUGAUGUUGNNNNNNNNNNNNNNNNNNNNNNNNNNNNNNNNNNNNNNNNNNNNNNNNNNNNNNNNNNNNNNNNNNNNNNNNNNNNNNNNNNNNNNNNNNNNNNNNNNNNCCCUGUAUCCCUUACCUGUAUUUUCACCAUUGUUGGGAAAGAAAAAGGCUUCCAUAUGAAAGCCAUGGCUGCAAAGAGGAUUGGUCGAGUAUGAAAAAGCCAGAUGAAAGCCUAUAACAAAAAGCAGGUGGGGUGUGCUCGUGUGUCUUUAGGAAUUGGAGUUGUGAUGUAGAAUGCAGUGAUUGUGGUUUGGAUUUGGAUUUUUUAUUUUUAAAUUUCUUUAUUUAUUUAAUUUAUUUAUUUCACUUUUUUAGGUUUUUUUAUUCAAAUUUUAAAUUUUAAAAUAUUUUAAUUGAAAUGGACAGUUUUAGCCCUCAAAUUAACAACCAAAUUGACAGAAGAACCUAAUUGGAACGGAUGAGAGAGUUGGAUGACCUAAUUGCCUAAAAAAAAAGUUCAGGAACCCAAUUGCAACUCGAGGUAAAAUUCAGGGACCUCUACAAUUAAAAACCCUUUCUAUUUUAUUAAACCAAGUAUUUUUUAUUUUAUUUAAAUCAUUGAGUAGUUCAACAUCAAACCUGACGAGAGUCAAUCAGUCAAUCAACCCAAAUCACAACCUAACUCUCUCCCCCGGCUACUAUGAUUGCUCAAUCCUCUGCAAAUCAGGAUUUAUUAUGUCGUGCUACAAUCUCUCCCUCAAUAUUAGUAUUAGUUUAAAUCUAUGAUUGUGUAAAUCUUGUGUUACCUUAUUAACCUUAGCUUUCCAUAUAUACUUAGGCCAAUGUCAACUGUAAUAUCAUAUAAAGAUGAAUGAAUACAGGCAUCACAAUCAGUGAGCCAUUCCCUAAUUUUCUAUUCCUUCCUAAAUUUCUACAUGGUAUCAGAGCUUCUCUGAGGCUAACUACCCACUACGAUCCUAUGGCUGAUUCUCAAUCCUCUCCUAUCUCCUCCUCUGUCAACUCUUUCAACUCUCCCAACAGCUCUAAAUCUGAAAUGACCAACCUCUCAAACUCUAUUCCUACUUCCUUCAAUAUCUCUCAUCUGUUCAACACACCCAUGGACAGAACCAAUUUCUUAUACUGGAAAUCUCAAUUCCAAGAUGUCCUUGAAAUCCUCAAUCUUGAAGAUGUGGUUCAUACUGAAAUUCCGCCCCAAAAGAAGCUCUCAGAUGGCUCUAUCAAUCCUGCUUAUUCCAAAAAUAAACUAGUCCACAAAAUAAUUUAAAAUAAUUAAUUAUAAUUAAUUAAGUAAUUUUUGAAAUUAGUAAAAAAUUUAAAUACUAAUUGUUCACUAAAUUUAUAAUACUUAAAGCAAUUAAAAAAGGUUAAGACAUUUCAUAUUUACAAAAAAGAAGGCGCUUGUAUUGUGCCUUUUUCGUUGGCAACCGGCCCAUGUCUUCUCACAACUUGUGAUUUAUCUCAAUGGGUGUGUCAGCAUGCUUACAUCCAGGCAUUCUUGUUUUAGUGUGUAGAUCCAUCAGAUACUUCCUUUGAGACAAAAAUGUACCAGUUUUUGACCUUGCUAGUUCACUUCCGUGAAAGUCUUUAAGAGUACCUAAAUCCUUCAUCUCAAAUUAUCGAGACAAAUACUUUUGUAGCUUAUGUUGCUCUCUUGUGUCGUUCCCAGUUACAACAAUGUCAUCCACAUAAAUAAUUAAUACAGUGAUAUUUCCUUCAUCACACUUCAAGAACAGGGUGUCAUCUGAAUUACUUUGAGUGUAUCCAAAAUUCUUCAUGGAUUUCAUGGAAGAAUUUGUAAAAGAUUUAUGUGAUGGCCCCCAAACUAAGUUAUUCACACUCUUGGUCCCUCUAAAAAUUGUUUUCUAGCUUCACCCUCCCAUUUUUUUUAAAAAAAUAAUUAUGAAAGAUUUCAUUAAUUUGAUAAACUUGGAGUAUUAUUCAAUAAAAAUGAAGUAAUUAAGUCAUGGAGGCUCUUCUUCUAACCAAAAGAUUCUUGAUGUAACAACAAGGCAUGCCUAGCAAGGAAGUGAGCCACCUUAUUACAUUCUAUGGAGCUAUAUCGCCAUCUCACCAGAGAGAAAAAAUGUGUGAGGCAGUUAGCUUCUUUAAAAAGGUGACCUACCACACAUGCAAAUCCCCCCCCCAUCUUUCUCAAGAGCAGUAAUAAUAUAUUGUGCAUCCCCUUCCAGUUCAAUAGUCUCGACAACAUUUCGGCGGGAAAGAUCCAUCGAUUGUUUUUUAUACAAGACAAAGAAAUAUCAUGCGGUGUUACUGCCAAAUUCACAAGGGAAGUUUUCAGUGAUGAAAAUUGGGAUCAAACAGGUCAAUAAUGGUAUAAGAGGGCUCUAAAUCCCGUUGGCAUUGAUGAAAAUUGUGUUGCGUAUUCAUUUAUCUUGGACAAAGGAGAGAACAUGUAGCAUAAAAGCAAAGUAGAACAUAUCAAUUUAUGUAUAGAGAACAUUAAUUAGUACUUUCUACUUCUUGGAUAAAGGAAGAGGUGCCAAGGAAGAUGUAGCACAACCAAGAGCCUUUGUCACGCCAGUAAUUGUGGGUUUGACAUUAGAACACAUAGAGGUCAGAGGACCUUUGUCUCCACCAUAGGUGAGAUCAAUGUCAGUCAACUCCACAUUCUCACACGGUAUGCCCGUGGUACAUACAAGCUUGACUGCAAGUGGAGUGAAAGAUGAGCCCUUAAUGUUCUUGAAACUGACAUUGUUGAUCUUAACUUUUGACGGAGGCUUUUGUUCACACUGAGUAUAUGGGCAGUACAAUUGGUCUAUGAGGAUAGGGUUACUGACAUUAACCAUGAUAAUAUCCUCAUAGUGUAUACCCGAGGCAGUGCUAGGCGAAGGAGAAUCUGGAAAUGUUUUGAUUCUCACACCAUUCUCCGUAUUAGCCAGGGUGCAGUUCUUAACUAUGAUCCCGGUCACAUCCUUUUCUUCCUUAUAUUUUCCAAGGCUUCCAAUGCUUAUUCCAUGGCCUGGCCCACAAGUAACAUCAGUCACUGUGAUUUCGUGGGAGUCAUCACCAAUAGAAAUACAGUCAUCCCCAGUUCCAAUCUUUGAAUGAGUAAUAUUGAUAGCAGUCGAAGCCCCGAUAUGGAUUCCAUCUGUGUUUCUGCUCUCGUCAGGUGCUGUGAUGGUAAGUUGUUGAAAUGUAGUAUGGUUGCACCGAAAAACAUGCAUGUGGAAAAAUUUGCUGUUAAGUGAAGUUAUGUCCUGAACUUUGGAAUUUGUGAGGAAUUCGAACCGCAGAUUAACGGGAAGAGGUUUGCAAUUUUUGUUUUUGUGGCAGUCAUUUUGAUUCCAAGAAAGUGCUCCUUGGCCAUCAAAAGUCCCACCACCUAAUAAGGUGAGCAUGUCAAUGUACUGAAAACCAACCCAAGUAUCCGGUCUUGUGAGUUGGCUAGCGUCUGCUGGAGCCUGCAAUAUGCCUUGAACUUGCAUCUCAAUAGGAGCCUUACAGGGGCCUCUGAAAGUUGCUUCUUUUAAGUUGUAUGUCCCGCUCGGAAUAACAACUUUACUCGCGGAUGGCGAUGCACAUGCAUCACUCCAAGCCUUGGCCAAGGCCGUACUGACAUCAGAGCCAGGCUUUGCACCGUAUGUUGCACUCGUCACGUCAAACACACUAGCAUGAGCUUUAGGUGUAGAUGCUAACAAUAAGCACAAAAGCAUUGCCAAGAAACUUAAUUUCAUAGCCAUAUUGAUUUUCCUUCCACUUUGUUAUUUUAUUCUCUGUGUUUUUUUUCCUUUGGAAGGAUGAUGCAACUCCAUUUUGAGUUGAGGCCAAUUUAUAGUCCAAUUGGGAAGGCUCAACACCAUCAAACUAUCCAACCAAUCACUAAGUAUUUUUAUACACAGUUGCAUUCUAGUUUACCUUUAUAUUCUAUAAUUAGUAAGCUGUUUAGCCUUGAGAAUAUUCAUCACCAAAUCUCUAUCUAGAACGUGCUAAGCUGUUUGUAGUAUUGCUGUCCUCCUUCACACCCUGCAAUAUAUGUAUAUUCCAAAAAAGGAGGACCAAAACCAUGCAUACACACCUGGAUACAGUUAACAAGAUCAACAAGAAAAGACCAUGCCUACACUAUGGGCGCAUCUAUGUAUAUACUUUUUCUAAUAUCAUCCAACUAGAAAGUACCUCAUCUUAACAACUUUAAUUCAUCUACUUACCUUAAAUAAUCCAUUUGCACCAUUGUGGUGGUUAGUUCACAUCUAUUUUUUACCAUACUCUUUUUAUUUUUAUUAUAAUCUAUAGGUUUUGCUUGCUAUCGCCGGUGACAUUGAUCUCACCUAGAAUGGAAACAAAGGCCUUUUUACCUCUCAAUGUGAAUGUCAAGCCCACCAUUAUUUGUGUGACAAAAGCCCUUGCCUGUGCUACCUAUGCUGGGUUAAAGAAAUGGAAUGUACUAAAGAUAAAUUGUUGUGUUGUUUGAUUUUUUUUUGAUUUUUUGGUGCUUGUACAGGUCUUUUUUCUUCGCUCAGAUACCUUCACAUGUCCUAAGCUAUAAAAUUCUAAUAUAUUUAAUAUUUGCAAAUAAAUUGCUUGUGUUAAAACAUACAUUCAAUAAUUCAUCAUUGUCUAGAUAAUGCAUCAGUUUCUACUCUAUAUACUUUUCUUGGCCUACAACCAGUUCGAUGCCAACAAGAGGGCAUUUUUUCUUCCCAUGCUUGGCCAAUUGAAGCUGGGAUUAGUAUGCCUGCUUGAUUUUGAUCCUUCCACUAUAUUAAUUGAAGAUUAUCAGACAAACUGAACGUAUAUAUAUAUAUACAUUUAUUCUCUCAUCCGAACGGUCUGGACGUUAUUAUCGUGCGGGCGUCAUUGUAAACAAGGAGUACACUUUUAAAAUAAAUUAAUAUUUAAAGAGUGCCUAUACUUGUUAUUUAUACGAAUUUUUUUAAGUAUAGCCGUGCGGCUAUACUAUUUAAAUAUUUGAAUGUAUGUCAAGCGUAUAGUCGACCGGCAAUACUGCAUAAAAGUGUGUUCUUUUUUGUAAUUAAGUAAUAUUUUACCAUUUUAAAAUUACUUUAAUUUUUAUGUAUUUAGUGAAUAAUUAGUAUUGAAAUAUUUUAGUAAUUUCAAUAUUUACUUCAUAAAUUGUAAUUAAUUAUUUUAAAUUAUUUUGUGGAGUUUGUUUUUUUUUAUUUAAUUUUCUACAAAAUUAGUUUAUUUUGUUUAAUAUGUUCAAAUAUUUUAAUAGUAUAGUCGUGCGACUGUACUAUUAAAAUAUAUUAAUAUUUAAAGAGUAUAGCCAUGCGGCUAUACCUGUUAAAUAUAUUUGGGUUUUAAGAGUAUAGCCGCAUGACGAUACUAUUAAAAUAUUCAGACAUAUUGAAAUAUUCGAACAUAUUAAACUAAAUAAACUGAUUUUGUACAAAAUAAAAUAAUAAAAAAAGUCCACAAAAUAAUUUAAAAUAAUUAAUUACAAUUUAUUAAGUAAUUUUUGAACUUAGUAAAAAAUUUAAAUACUAAUUGUUCACUAAAUUUAUAAUAAUUAAAGCAAUUAAAAAAGGCUAAGAUAUUUCAUAUUUACAAAAAAAAAGGCGCUGGUAUUGUGCCUUUUUGUUUGGCAACCGGCCCAUGUCUUCUCACAACUUGUGAUUUAUCUCAAUGGGUGUGUCAACAUGCUUACACCCAAGCAUUUUUGUUUUAGUGUGUAGAUCCAUCAGAUACUUCCCUUGAGAAAAAAAUGUACCAGUUUCUGACCUUGCUAGUUCAAUUCCGUGGAAUUUUUUAAGAGUACCUAAAUCCUUCAUCUCAAAUUGCUGAGACAAAUACUUUUGUAGCUUAUGUUGCUCUCUUGUGUCGUUCCCAGUUACAACAAUGUCAUCCACAUAAACAAUUAAUGCAGUGAUAUUUCUUUCAUCACACUUCAAGAACAGGGUGUCAUCUGAAUUACUUUGAGUGUAUCCAAAAUUCUUCAUGGACUUAGUAAAUUUGCCAAACCAUGCAUUCGGAGAUUGUUUUAACCCAUAUAAUGACUUUAUGCGCUUGCAAACUUUAUUUUUCUUUUCAGGAGUUAAAUUACAUCCUAGUGGUAAAUCCAUGUAUAUCUCUUCUGCCAAGUGUCUGUGUAAGAAGGCAUUUUUAACAUCGAACUGAUGUAGUGGCCAAUCUAGAUUUGUUGCUAGAGACAGUAGGACUCUGAUAGUGUCGAUCUUGGCUAUUGGGGCAAAGGUCUCUUGAUAGCCCACCCCAUAUCUCUGUCUGUACCCCUUCGCCACUGAUCUAGCUUUAUAUCUUUCAAUGGAUCCAUUUGCUUUGAGUUUCACAGUAUAGAUCAACCUACAUCCCACAGUCUUCUUUCCAUAAGGUAAAGGCACGAGCUCUCAUGAGGCAAUCUUCUGGAGAGCUCACAUGUAACACUUUGUCCCAAAAAUCACUGUUCAAUUUGAUUAUUUAAUUGUGGAUUUACAAUUCUGCCCUUGGGGGUAGGGUUACUUUAUUCACUUUUUGAUCUGGAAGGAUUUUGAGGAUUUGAGUGAGACCAUUUCGUAGAGCUUGCUCUCACGAGUUCGUAGACACAUAGUGGGCUCAAAUUGGAGUUAUAACGAAGAAGUUGUGGUCAACGGAAGUGCAGUGGCACAAACAUAAAUUUUUCAAAGUUGGGUCUUAAAAUACCCAGUUAGCCCCCCUCUCUCUCUCUCUCUCUCUCUCUCUCUUUCUCUCUCUACGCACAUGACUUUCUCUCUUUACAGGAGUGGUAGCAAAUUUUCAAAGGCGAUUUCGUCGUCGUUUGGUGUCCGAUUCGAGCAAAAUUGCUUGCAAAAGUUUCUCAUCGAUGUCCUCUAUCUUACCCACAUUUUCCCAGCUCAAAAACCCAAGCAAAUUAAACUGGAACGACUGGAAGUUCGGGCGAUUUUUGAAGUUUUGGAUGCCGUUUUCGACGAUCCUAGUGGCAGUUUUCAUUAAUCCAGGUAUGAAUCUUCAUCUCAUCCACGUGCUCUAGUUGUUUACGUUGGUAUCUUGGUUCAAUUUUGAGGUUUUACAUGUCAUUCAAAAUACCCAUUUUAGCCGACGAUUUCGUCUUCAAUUCGGCUAGUUCCGACUAGUUUUUCGCCGUAGUCCAAGAACAAAACUUGAUCCCCUAGUAAGUAUGAAUCUGUUGGCAUAGGUAUUCGUCGAUGGUUUGGAGAUUUUCCGUCGCUGGAAAAUCUUUUAAGACACCCACGCGCUGCCGGCGGUGGGUGGCGGCCCAUAGAGUUCUAAAUUGUUACCCUUGUCGUCCUGAGUAUGAUGGUAUGCUCGGAUUUGGAUUUGAUUAUCGUUUGACAGUCGAACGGAUAUUGCACCUAUUAUGCGAUAUCUGGGUUCAAUAGGUUUGGACCGUUCAAUCGGUGCCAUUUUCUAAUGCGUUGUUCCUCGUAUUCUAGGAUUUGUGUUGGAACUGGUGGAACGAGAAUGGGGGUCCCGGAUACUUCUAAUCAAUGAUUCUAGGGUUAAGUAAACCGGUUAUCGUCCGAACGUGCGAUCGAGAGCGAUCCAAUCGCUUGAUCAUGACCAAACUCUGGAAACUUGUUAAGUAGACCUCGUUGGACUUAUAGUAAAGUUUGGAUCGAAAAUCGAAGGUUAUGGGCCCUACGGGCCUAAUUGGUCAAAUUCAGCGAUCGAGGUCAAACCGGCCGUUAGAUCGUGACGGGACUUCUAGAAUGGACUGAACUUUUGGUUAUGGACCAAUAGGAAUUGUCAUAUAACAAUUGGGGUCGUGGACCUUUCGAGCCCAGUUGACUUAGAUUGUGGGCUUUGUUGGCUCGGUUGAGGCCUUUUAGUAGUUGUAAUUGUAAUUGGAGGUUUAUUUUAAAAUGGUAUUGUGUUUUGAAUGUUUUAUUAAAUUUUUAUGAAUUAUUAUGUAAUCGCUUUUACUUUCCAUGAAUAAGGAAUGGCUCGGAUAACGGGAUUUUGGCAUGAAUAAGGAAUUAAUUAAAUGCAUGAUUGUAUGUCUAUAUUUAAAUAUAUGCUCGGUGGCUUGAAAUCGAUGAAUGAUGGAUACUAGUUUUCUCAAUAGUAUGUUGUACAUAUUUGAAUAUAGUUUGAGAACAAUUUUGAAAGAUUAUGCAUGGUCAAGUUGAAGUUAAGGAAUGUUGGGAUUGAUCUCAUUUUAAAAAGGGAUUUUUGGUUAUCUAUUUAAGAAUUGAUUUGUGGAAAGUUGAGAAAGAAUUUGGAAACUGGAUUUGUGAAAGUGGAUUAGUGGAAAAAGAGGAAUUUUAUGAUAAGUUUUGGAAAAUGGUUUUCAAAACCCACCACCAGAGUACCGCCCCCCCCCCAGUUGCCUUCGGAAUAGUCUAGUCAUUUAUGACAAUGCCCACGAGUCUCGGAGACCCCUGAACCAUGUGGUGCGAGGAUUUGCGUUCUCGAGUUGAUUAUAUCUUCCUAAGUCCUGCGAGGGGAUUUGAUGGAUAUGCGUUUCGAGCUGAUCACCCAAUUCUGCGAAGAUAUGCGUUCUCGGCUGACAAAGUGUCCCCCGAGUUCUGCGAGGAUAUGUGUUCUCGGGUUGACCACGUGUUUCCUGAGUUCUGCGAGGACACGCGUUGUCGGGCUGCCUACGUGUCCCCAUACUUCUGCGAGGAUAUGAGUUGUCGGGCUGACCAUAGGUCCCCCGAGUUCUGCAAGGAUGUAACAUAUAUGGUACUUGGAAUUGACGCAAUAUUAUUGGAAUUGACGGAUUAUGAUUUAGGGUAUGCCUAGGUGGAGAGAUGUGAGUUUGGAGAUGUUUUAAACUAAAAUUGAUGAUUUUAUCUUGGUACUUAUUGGUGAAAGUUUUAAUACAUGUAUUCAGAUUUAUGAGACAAGGAUUGAAAGUUUUCUAAAUUUUAAGGAUUGUAUACAAUUCACAACUAUUUUCUUGAGUGAUGAGUUUGUUUUUACACGUGAAAGAUGGAAGUAGUUUUAUUCAAACUGCUGAUAUUGAUAUUAAGGUUUCACGUGGCCAAUGUUAUUUUAAUAAUUUUCUUAUUUUCAUACUUAUCUGUAAUGAGCUAUUAUAUAUGUGUAUUUGUAUAUGCACAUAUGUGAUAGGUGGAAGAUUGUUCUGAAAUCAAUAUCUUUUGCUGAAGUUUCAGCGGAUUGAUUAGAGUUUGAAGCUUUUGGUUUUAGGAAAGUGCGAUGGAAUAUUUAGUUCAUAUGCUUACAUAUGGGUUGAACUUUAUUUUCUUGCAUAAAGAACUGCGUGUGGUUUGAUCCCCUCAGUAAGGGUACUUAGGCAACCUAUGCUAAUCUUGGUGCAGCCACAAGUUUUUGAUUGUUUGUUAUGUUCAGUGUUGUAAAGUUGAUUGUGCUGAACGCUCGGGACUAUUUGAGUUUGCUGUGCAUGUGCCUUUUUCGAGAGAGACUCUGCCGGUUUUUCGAUAGAAGUCAAACCCUAAAUCAGUUUUUGGAUUAGGGCAAGAAGCGUAUUUUGGUCAUUCAUGCCUAACACCUACCAGGGGGUAAACAGAACCGGGUUUGACACGAAUUCCAAAGUCGAAUUUGGUCGGGUCCUGUCAUCGCAAUUAUUCAUUCAUGGCUUCUUUCCAUUUUGAGUAUUCUAGUGCUUCAGUCACACUAUUGGGGACAUAUAUAUAUAUUCCAACUGCUCCACAAAGUAUACAUAUGACUCUAAUAAUCUACUUAGAGAUAUAUAAUUAUUGAUUGUGCAUUUUCCUUUUGCUUUAAGAUCUACUUCGUACUGUAAUUGAGGUUUACCACGAUUCUUUCUUUCUGGAAGUUGGUAUAUAGGGGUAUCUGCAUCCUUUAUGUUUUUUGAAAUUAAAUCAUCAUGGUAUAUUUCAUUAGUGUUAUUAGUUUCAGGACGAGAUGUUACCUAAACGACUUCUUCAGAAGGUGGUUAGUGUGGUACUAAAGCUGAAUGUGGGUCCGAAUUGGGCAAAAUCUCAAAAAAUAGUUCAACUUCCUCCUAAUGAUUUUGGCAGUGUGGAGUUGAUCGAUCAUUUUUCACUGGCGACCGGUUGUUUUGACACAGAGGCUUAAUGUUCGGGAAAGAAGGACAAAGCGACCGGUAGUUUGGGCAGAGCGACCGGUCAUUUUGACAUAAUGGCUCUAGCUGUGAAGGAAUAAAAGGGGGUGAUCGGCGACACAUAUUCGCGGGGAUAGGUCUAUCCCAUCAAAGUUCACCAGGAUAAGUCUAUCCCGUUAAAGUUCGUUGGGCUAGGUUUAUCCCGACAAAAUUAGCCAAGACAUGUCUAGUGUAGGUUCGGUUACGUCAUACUAACCCAAGACUGAGAGUGAAACCUAAAUCGUAAAGCCCUAGGUCGAGUUACGUGAUUAUCCAAGCCUAAUUGAAUCCUAAGUGCCCUACAGUAGAUUUAUAGCUAGAGUUUAAGGCUUGCGAACGAUUUUGGAACAAGUUCUUUCAAAUUCGAGAGCUAGGGUUUUUGGUUCGAGACUUGGAUUUAGAGUUUGGAGAUUAAAAUUCGAUUUUUAGAAUUUUUAAAUAAUUGAAACUAUUUUUAAAAUAAUUUUAAAUUCCACAAAAUUAUUUAAGAUAAUUAAAUAUAAUUAAUUUGUAUUUGUUAAGUAAUUUUUAUGAAAUUAAUUGAAAUAUUUAAAUACUAAUUCUUCACUAAAUAAUACAGCCGCGCAACUACACUAUUUAAAUAUUAAAUAUAAUAUUUUAACGGUAUAGCCGUGCGGCUAUACUGCAGAAAUAUAAAAUUUUAACAGUAUAUGGCUAUUUCUAGCAUUUCAUAGAAGAAUUUGUAAAAGAUUUAUGUAAUGGCCCCAAAACUAAGUUAUUCACACUCUUGGUCCCUCAAAAAAUUGUUUUCUAGCUUGACCCUCCCAUUUUUUUUUUUAUUAUUAUUUUUUAAAUUAUGAAAGAUUUCAUUAAUUUGAUAAACUUGGAGUAUUAUCCAAUAAAAAUGAAGUAAUUAAGUCAUGGAGGCUCUUCCUCUAACCAAAAUAUUAUUGAUCUAACAACAAGGCAUGCCUAGCAAGGGAGUGAGCCACCUUAUUACAUUUUAUGGAGCUAUAUAUCGCCAUCUCACACCAGAGAGAAAGAAUGUGUGAGGCACUUAGCUUCUUUAAAAAGGUGACCUUUCACACAUGCAAAUCCUCCCCAUCUUUCUCAAGAGCAGUAAUAAUAUAUUGUGCAUCCCCUUCCACUUCAAUAGUCUCGACAACAUUUCGGCGGGAAAGAUCUAUCGAUUAUUUUUUAUACAAGACAAAGAAAUAUCAUGCGGUGUUACUGCCAAAUUCACAAGGGAAGUUUUCAGUGAUGAAAAUUGGGAUCAAAAAGGUCAAUAAUGGUAUAAGAGGGCUUUAAAUCCCGUUGGCAUUGAUGAAAAUUGUGUUGCGUAUUCAUUUAUCUUGGACAAAGGAGAGAACAUGUAGCAUAAAAGCAAAGUAGAACAUAUCAAUUUAUGUACAUAGAGAACAUUAAUUAGUACUUUCUACUUCUUGGAUAAAGGAAGAGGUGCCAAGGAAGAUGUAGCACAACCAAGAGCCUUUGUCACGCCAGUAAUUGUGGGCUUGACAUUAGAACACAUAGAGGUCAGAGGACCUUUGUCUCCACCAUAGGUGAGAUCAAUGUCAGUCAACUCCACAUUCUCACACGGUAUGCCCGUGGUACAUACAAGCUUGACUGCAAGUGGAGUGAAAGAUGAGCCCUUAAUGUUCUUGAAGCUGACAUUGUUGAUCUUAACUUUUGACGGAGGCUUUUGUUCACACUGAGUAUAUGGGCAGUACAAUUGGUCUAUGAGGAUAGGGUUACUGACAUUAACCAUGAUAAUAUCCUCAUAGUGUAUACCCGAGGCAGUGCUAGGCGAAGGAGAAUCUGGAAAUGUUUUGAUUCUCACACCAUUCUCCGUAUUAGCCAGGGUGCAGUUCUUAACUAUGAUCCCGGUCACAUCCUUUUCUUCCUUAUAUUUUCCAAGGCUUCCAAUGCUUAUUCCAUGGCCUGGCCCACAAGUAACAUCAGUCACUGUGAUUUCGUGGGAGUCAUCACCAAUAGAAAUACAGUCAUCCCCAGUUCCAAUCUUUGAAUGAGUAAUAUUGAUAGCAGUCGAAGCCCCGAUAUGGAUUCCAUCUGUGUUUCUGCUCUCGUCAGGUGCUGUGAUGGUAAGUUGUUGAAAUGUAGUAUGGUUGCACCGGAAAACAUGCAUGUGGAAAAAUUUGCUGUUAAGUGAAGUUAUGUCCUGAACUUUGGAAUUUGUGAGGAAUUCGAACCGCAGAUUAACGGGAAGAGGUUUGCAAUUUUUGUUUUUGUGGCAGUCAUUUUGAUUCCAAGAAAGUGCUCCUUGGCCAUCAAAAGUCCCACCACCUGAUAAGGUGAGCAUGUCAAUGUACUGAAAACCAACCCAAGUAUCCGGUCUUGUGAGUUGGCUAGCGUCUGCUGGAGCCUGCAAUAUGCCUUGAACUUGCAUCUCAAUAGGAGCCUUACAGGGGCCUCUGAAAGUUGCUUCUUUUAAGUUGUAUGUCCCGCUCGGAAUAACAACUUUACUCGCGGAUGGCGAUGCACAUGCAUCACUCCAAGCCUUGGCCAAGGCCGUACUGACAUCAGAGCCAGGCUUUGCACCGUAUGUUGCACUCGUCACGUCAAACACACUAGCAUGAGCUUUAGGUGUAGAUGCUAACAAUAAGCACAAAAACAUUGCCAAGAAACUUAAUUUCAUAGCCAUAUUGAUUUUCCUUCCACUUUGUUAUUUUAUUCUCUGUGUUUUUUUUCCUUUGGAAGGAUGAUGCAACUCCAUUUUGAGUUGAGGCCAAUUUAUAGUCCAAUUGGGAAGGCUCAACACCAUCAAACUAUCCAACCAAUCACUAACUAUUUUUAUACACAGUUGCAUUCUAGUUUAGCUUUAUAUUCUAUAAUUAGUAAGCUGUUUAGCCUUGAGAAUAUUCAUCACCAAAUCUCUAUCUAGAACGUGCUAAGCUGUUUGUAGUAUUGUUGUCCUCCUCCACACCCUGCAAUAUAUGUAUAUUCCAAAAAAUGAGGACCAAAACCAUGCAUACACACCUGGAUAGAGUUAACAAGAUCAAUAGGAAAAGACCAUGCCUACACUAUUGGCGCAUCUAUGUAUAUACUUUUUCUAAUAUCAUCCAACUAGAAAGUGCCUCAUCUUAACAUCUUUAAUUCAUCUACUUAGCUUAAAUAAUCCAUUUGUUCCAUUGUGGUGGUUAGUUCAUCUAUUUUUUACCAUACUCGUUUUAUUUUUCUUAUAAUCCAUAGGUUUUGCUUGCUAUCGCCGGUGACUUUGAUCUCACCUAGAAUGGAAACAAAGGCCCUUUUUCCUGUCAAUGUUAAUGUCAAGCCCACCAUUACUUGUGUGACAAAAGCCCUUGCCUGUGCUACCUAUGCUGGGUUAAAGAAAUGGAAUGUACUAAAGAUAAAUUGUUAUGUUCUUUGAUUUUUUUUGAUUUUGUGGUGCUUGUACAGGUUUUUUUUCUUCGCUCAGAUACCAUCACAUGUUCUGAGCUAUAAAAUUCUAAUAUAUUUAAUAUUUGCAAAUAAAUUGCUUGUGUUAAAACAUACAUUCAAUAAUUCAUCAUUGUCUAGAUAAUGCAUCAGUUUCUACUCUAUAUACUUUUCUUGGCCUACAACCAGUUCGAUGCCAACAAGAGGGCAUUCUUUCUUCCCAUGCUUGGCCAGUUGAAGCUUUGAUUAGUAUGCCAGCUUGAUUUUGAUCUUUCCACUAUAUUAAUUGAAGAUUAUCAGACAAACUGAAUGUAUAUAUAUACAUUUAUUCUCUCAUCUGAACGGUCUGUACGUUAUUAUCGUGCGGGCGCUAUUGUAAACAAGGAGUACACUUUUAAAAUAAAUUAAUAUUUAAAGAGUGGCUAUACUUGUUAUUUAUACGAAUAUUUUUUAAGUAUAGCCGUGCGGCUAUACUAUUUAAAUAUUCGAAUGUAUGUCAAGCGUAUAGCCGCCCGGCUAUACUGCAUAAAAGUGUGUUCUUUUUUGUAAUUAAGUAAUAUGUUCAAAUAUUUUAAUAGUAUAGCCGUACGACUGUACUAUUAAAAUAUAUUAAUAUUUAAAGAGUAUAGUCAUGCGGCUAUACCUGUUAAAUAUAUUCGAGUUUUAAGAGUAUAGCCGCACGACGAUACUAUUAAAAUAUUCAGACAUAUUGAAAUAUUCGAACAUAUUAAACUAAGUAAACUAAUUUUGGACAAAAUAAAAUAAAAAAACAAAGACCACAAAAUAAUUUAAAAUAAUUAAUUACAAUCUAUUAAGUAAUUUUUGAAAUUAGUAAAAAAUUUAAAUACUAAUUGUUCACUAAAUUUAUAAUAAUUAAAGCAAUUAAAAAAGGCUAAGAUAUUUCAUAUUUACAAAAAAGAAGGCGUUGGUAUUGUGCCUUUUUGGUUGGCAACCGUGAUUUAUCUCAAUGGAUGUGUCAGUAUGCUUACAUCCAAGCAUUCUUGUUUUAGUGUGUAGAUCCAUCAGAUACUUCCUUUGAGACAAAAAUGUACUAGUUUUUGACCUAGCUUGUUCAAUUCUGUGGAAGUCUUUAAGAGUACCUAAAUCCUUCAUCUCAAAUUACUGAGACAAAUACUUUUGUAGCUUAUGUUGCUUUCUUGUGUCAUUCCCAGUUACAACAAUGUCAUUCACAUAAACAAUUAAUGUAGUGAUAUUUCCUUCAUCACACUUCAAGAACAGGGUGUCAUCUGAUAAAGGCCACAAAAUAAUGGAUAAAAGCCACAUCAUCCCCUUCCAUCAAAACUCUCCUUAUCUCAUGCACAACAGCUUAUGAGGCAUGUAGUCUCCUAGAAAAACGUCUUGCUCCCCUUUCAAAAACUCAUGUUCGGACCCUGCGAGAUCAAAUUCGCACUCUCAAAAAGACCCCAGAAACAUCAGUUGAGGUUUAUUUGAUGCAUGCCAAAUCACUUUAUGAUUCACUCUUUGCUGCUGGAACAGAAAUGUCAGAUGAAGAACUCAUUGAAUACUGUUGGCGUGACUUGUGGAUAUUGACUUACUUUCCUUACACACCAAGAAUUCCUAUUAUAAUUGUAAUUGAUUUACUUUAAUUCCUGAUUUCCUACUGUAAAUAGAUUUAGGAAUUUAUUAUUUACUUGCCCAUUCAGGUUUCGUUGUAUUAUAAAUAUGACCUCCUACAAGGAGAAGAAUACACAGAAAAUUCCCACAAACAAAUAUUCUCUCAUAGUUUUCAUAUUUUAGCAUGGUAUCAGAGCGGCGAUCUUGGAAUUGCUGACUCUAGUUUCAAAACUCCGCCGCCGCUAUGAGGGUUGAUGAUUUUUUCAACCCUCAUGGAGGUAGCACCACCGACUCCUUCUCUCAUUCUCAACCAACCAUCGUUGAGUUGAGUGCCCAGAUGGCUCCGCCCCUACAGAUGCAGACUUUGACCCCGAACCCGAUCCAGAAUCAGGAUCCUUUUUUGACGACCCCGACCCCGACCCCGACUAUGACGACGACGACCCCGACCCCGACCCCGACUCCGAAGACGACCCCGACCCGCACUCCGAUGAUGACCCCAACCCCGAAUUUGUCUAUGAUUCAGACCCCGAUCCAGAAUCAGGAUCUUCUUUUGACGACCCCGACCCCGACCCCGACUAUGACGACGACGACCCUGACCCCGACUCCGAAGACGACCACGACCCCUACUUCGAUGAUGACCCCAACCUCGAAUUUGUCUAUGAUUCAGACCCCGAUUCCGAUUUCGACUCCGACUCCGGCCCCGACUCAUGCUCAGAUUCCGAUCCAAAUUCCUACUCAACCUGUAUCCUAUGCUUCUUCCGCUGCACAGCUUAUGACUUCUAGACUAACGACCCCGACACAUGGACCAAAUUGCGCAUAUUGUGGUGAUCCGAGACACACUUGUGAGACUUGUUUUACAUCGCAUGGCUACCCCGAUUGGUGGGCUACUCUUACAGAUCGAGGACAAUGCAAUAUGACCAGUAAUGGUACUGGUUAUGGAUUCCAUACUUCCGAUAAGAUUGAUUCCAAGAGCUGGAUAAUUGAUUCUGGUGCAACUGAUCAUAUGACGUUUGAUCCUGAUGAUUUUCUGAAUACUACACAACCUCGACGAACCUGUAUUGCAAAUGCCAAUGGUGUUACUUAUCCUGUGACAGGGGCUGGCACUGUUGCACUCUCAUCCUCUCUCACACUGUCUAAUACUUUACUUGUUCCAUCUUUAUCCACUAAAUUGUUGUCAGUUAGUCAGCUUACUGAACAAUUGAAUUGUUGUGUACUCAUUUACCCGAGUUUUUGUUUGCUUCAGGAUAUUCACACUAAGGAGAUUCUUGGUCGUGGUACUAAGAGAGGGGGGUUAUAUUAUGUCGAUGACUUCAGUCCCGGCGUGGCUAACAGUGUGACACAUUCCUUUGAUAGCAAACAAAAGCAAAUUUGGUUGUGGCAUCGUCGAUUGGGACAUCCGUCUUUUAGUUAUAUGAAGCAUCUUAUACCAGAUUUAUUCUCAGGUUUCAAAGACUCUGACUUCACAUGUGAUACUUGUAUUUUGGCCAAGAGUCACCGUGUGCCCUACCCGUUGAGUACGAACAAGUGUACUACUCCAUUUACAUUAAUUCACUCUGAUGUCUGGGGACCUUCGCCUAUCACUGCUCCUUCUGGUGUUCGAUGGUUUGUCAUAUUCAUCGAUGAUUGUACACGGAUGACAUGGCUUUAUUUGCUGAAGAAUAAAAACGAGGUGUUUUCCCGUUUUCAGUCCUUCCACAAACAGAUGAAAACUCAAUUUAAUGCUCAAAUCCAGAUUCUUCGCUCCGACAAUGGUGGAGAAUUUGUCAAUCAUGACUUUCAGACUUACUUCCAACAACAUGGAAUUAUCCAUGAGACGACUUGUCCUCAGACACCGCAACAAAAUGGUGUUGCUGAACGAAAGAAUCGACAUCUUCUUGAAACCGCCCGAGCACUUCUGAUUGGCGCUCAUGUUCCUCGCCAUCACUGGGAUGAUGCUAUUGUCACUGCAGUUCACCUGAUCAACCGCAUGCCUUCUGGUGUAUUGACCUUUAAAACUCCUUUACAGGUGCUUGCGCAACACAGACAUCUACCCUCUGUUUUGGUACUCACACCCCGAAUCUUUGGAUGCGUGGCUUUCGUUCAUCUCCACAAAAAUCAACGUAGCAAACUUGAUCCCUGUGCGCUUCGUUGUGUUUUUGUGGGUUAUGCCACUCAUCAGAAAGGUUACCGCUGUUAUCACCCUCCUACCCAACGAACCUAUGUCACUUUGGAUGUGACUUUUCUGGAAUCUGAGCUGUUCUUUCAUGACCCAUCAUCCAAUUCUGCGCUUCAGGGGGAGAUACGAAGUGAAGAACAGAAUUGGAGCAACUUGGCAAACAAAGAAAUUCUCCCAUGUACAGAAAUGAUUGAUCAUCCCGAGUCUGGAGCACGAGAUUACUCUCUGUUGAAAAGUGACCAAUCGCCCAUUCAUAGCGAUCAAUUGCCUGACCCACCUGAUCCAUGCGAAGAUAUUUCUGAUCCGAGUCCCACACCUACAGACAAUACAGAACAACAAGAUGAAGACCCCCCUUCUAACUCAACAGUACCAACAGACCAAUCUCCUGAGAAUAUCCUUGAGGUAACUACUCCUACUAGACUUGUGCAUUUAGAUGAUAAAACUAUUGGAUAUCAAUUACCUUUCAGGCAAAAUCGUGGGAAGCCACCAAACCGUUAUUCACCGGAUAUUGGCAAGACAUCCAAGUAUCCAAUUGCAAAUCAUGUAUCCACUGAGAAGCUGUCUGAACCACUCAAGGCUUUUGUGCAUCAGUUGUCUGCUAUCCAUAUUCCAACCAAGGUCUCUGAAGCAUUGAAAGAUCCUAAGUGGGUCCAAGCUAUAAAAGAGGAGAUGAAAGCUCUUGAGAAAAAUCAGACUUGGACAUUAGAGACUAUACCACGAGGAAAAAAGACUAUCGGAUGUAGAUGGGUGUUUACUAUAAAACACAAUGCAGAUGGAUCUAUCGAGCGAUACAAGGCAAGACUUGUGGCAAAAGGGUACACACAGACCUAUGGUAUAGACUAUGAAGAAACUUUUGCACCAGUUGCAAAGUUAAACACCGUCAGAGUCUUAUUGUCCCUUGCAGCUAAUUUGGAUUGGCCACUACACCAGUUUGAUGUAAAGAAUGCUUUUCUACAUGGUGAACUCACAGAGGAGGUGUACAUGGAUAUUCCUCCUGGAUAUAAUACUACUCAGACUGGAACAGUUUGCAGGUUACGAAAAGCAUUAUAUGGAUUGAAACAGUCACCACGUGCAUGGUUUGGACGGUUCACCAUGGCAAUGAAGAACAAUGGUUUCAAACAGUGCAACUCAGAUCAUACUCUGUUCUUGAAACAUCAAAAAGGGAAGGUAACAGCAUUAAUAAUCUAUGUUGAUGAUAUGAUUAUUACUGGGAAUGAUAAACAGGAAAUAUCACAGCUACAAGACUAUCUGGCUACGGAGUUUGAGAUGAAGGAUCUAGGUGGACUCAAGUAUUUCUUGGGAAUUGAGGUGGCUCGAUCGCAGCAAGGCAUAUUUCUCUCUCAAAGGAAAUAUGUCUUAGACUUGUUGACAGACACAGGAAUGCUAGAUUGUAAACCUGCGGACACUCCUAUUGUUCAGAAUCAUCAUCUUGGAGAAUAUCCGGAUCAAGUUCCAACUAACAAAGAAAGAUACCAAAGGUUAGUGGGAAGAUUGAUCUAUUUGUCACAUACUCGACCAGACAUUGCUUAUGCAGUGAGCGUUGUCAGUCAAUUUAUGCACUCUCCAAGUGAAGACCACAUGAAUGCAGUUCUUCGGAUACUUAGAUAUUUGAAGUCUGCACCUGGAAAAGGACUUAUGUUCUCAAAGCAUGGUCAUCUAAAUAUUGAUGGUUAUUCAGAUGCAGAUUGGGCAGGUAAUGUAACAGAUAGAAAAUCCACAUCGGGUUACUUCACAUUCGUGGGAGGUAAUUUGGUGACAUGGAGGAGCAAGAAACAAAAUGUAGUAGCUUUAUCCAGUGCAGAAGCCGAGUUCAGAGGCAUGACUAAAGGGAUUUGUGAACUUCUUUGGUUAAGAAAGUUGCUUAUUGAACUCGGGUAUAAACCUACAUCCACAAUGAAUCUCUUUUGUGACAACAAGGCUGCUAUAGCCAUUGCACAGAAUCCGGUUCAGCAUGAUCGUACUAAACAUGUUGAGGUAGAUCGACACUUCAUCAAACAGAAGCUUGAGGCUAAAGUGUUUCAGUUUCCUUUUGUGAAAUCCGAGGAUCAAUUGGCGGAUAUUUUGACAAAGGCGAUUUCCAGUAAAGCAUUCCACAAUUCACUGGAUCAGUUGGGCAUUGGCGACAUCUAUGCACCAACGUGAGGGGGAGUGUUGGCGUGACUUGUGGAUAUUGACUUACUUUCCUUACACACCAAGAAUUCCUAUUAUAAUUGUAAUUGAUUUACUUUAAUUCCUGAUUUCCUACUGUAAAUAGAUUUAGGAAUUUAUUAUUUACUUGCCCAUUCAGGUUUCGUUGUAUUAUAAAUAUGACCUCCUACAAGGAGAAGAAUACACAGAAAAUUCCCACAAACAAAUAUUCUCUCAUAGUUUUCAUAUUUUAGCAAAUACAUCCUCGAUGGUCUUGGCCAUGAAUACAAGGAAUUCACCACAUCUCUCCAUCUUCGACCCUCACUGACAUUUGAUGAGUUCUAUGAUUUACUCCUUCAAGAAGAACAACUCUUGAAAAGAAUGUCCUCUCUCUCAUUAUCUACUGGCACUGCCCUUACUACAGAUCGUACCUCCCACAAUCAUCAACAAAACCCCCCUCACAGGUCAUCCAAUCAACACUCCCAUAGUAACUCCAGCAGGGGACGUGGUAGAGGACGUGGCAGAGACCGCAACUGGAACUCCAACCGCACCAACAAUUGGAGUUCUAAUCGAGAGCCUAGUUGGAACUCCAAUUCCCACAAUAGCUGGAAUUCAAAUCGAAGCAACACUUGUGUUAAAUUUAAUACACACUUGAAGAAUAUAAAAAAAUCUAGAAGAAAUUAGAAAACUCAAGAAAGUUCACUAAUUUGACAAGGUCAAGUUUUAAGAGAGAAUUAUUGUAAACUCUAGAAAAGUCCUAAUAAAAAUCUUGUAAUAAGGUAAUAUUAUAUUAUAAAGUAGUGGCUAGGAGAAGAAGCCAAGUCCACCGACUUGGAGAAUGGCGGCAGCUUUAGUGUAUAAAUAGAUGUUGUUGUCUCUUGUACAAAGUCAAGAGAGUAAGAACAGGCCAAAUAGCCAGCAAAGAGAGUAAGAACAGGCCAAAUAGCCAGCAAAAAGAGAGAGAAUAGGCCAAUAAGCCAAAAGGCCAAUAAGCCUAGCAAAUAGUUUCUAGUUGUUGAAGGCCAAUAAGCCUACUCCUCUAUAAAGCCUUGUACCCAUCUAUUGUUGAAUAAAUAAAAUCACUUUUUUGUUCUCUAAAACCCAACAAGUGGUAUCAGAGCAUCACAAACACUCAUCUCACCUACUAUAUUCCAACAACUUGGAACCCAAGCACCAGGUCGGACACUCGUGAUAGCACUCCCUCACUGCCUCCACCAGAUAAUCGCCCACCACUCCUUCCUACACCACCAUAUCAUCCCCUGUUUCAGUUUCAAGAGACAUGCCAGCCAUGCAACCGACAAGGCCAUACAUCUCGUAUUUGUCCGGAACGUGGCAACUUCGCUUACAUGGCAGAAUCCAACAUUACGACUGCUCCCACAUCAUCUGAACUCACCAACUGGUGUGUGGACUUAGGUGUCACCCAUCACAUGACCUCUAAUCCUUCUGAGCUCUCACAUGUACAACCAUACACAGGUAAUGACUCUAUUGUUGUUGGCAACGGUUCUCACCUAUCUAUCUCUCAUAUUGGCAAAACACACUUAGACAGAUCUAUUGGCUCUCUGCAUCUUAAUGACGUAUUAUGUGUGUUAAAGGAAAGAAUCAAGUCAUAUUUGAUAUGCCCAUAUUAUAGGGUCGUUGAUUGAUUCCUUGUAUAUAUGUUAUUCAAUUGUUUUAUUUCCUUCCUAGAAUAAGACUCUUUCGGUUUGUAUAAAGCUGUAGCUAUAUUAUAUAUUCAAUCAUCAAUGAAAUAUAGAGAUCUUCUCUACCAAUCUGUUUUCUUCAUUCACCAUUUUUACAUGGUAUCAGAGCACCGAUUCUGGUGACUCUAGAAACCCAAACACCUUCCGCUACAACACAACACAAGAUGGGUGAAACAAAAUCCACAGAGAAAUCAAUUGAUGUUUCGGAUCCACUCACCUUGCAUCACUCAGAUCAUCCGGGAAUUGUUUUGGUAUCCAGGCUUCUUGAAGGAUACAACUAUGGCCAAUGGAGUCGAUCUAUGCGUCUCAAUCUUAGCGCAAAGAAUAAGAUUGGCUUUGUCGAUGGGUCUGUCAAAACCCCAGCAUCUACAGAUGCGAAACACUCUAUUUGGCAUCGAUGCAACGACAUGGUAUUGUCGUGGAUCUUGAAUUCAGUACAUCCGGACAUUGCCGGCAGCGUGAUCUAUGCCGAAACAGCGGCUGAAGUUUGGAAUGACCUCAAAGAGAGGUUUUCACAGGGCAAUGAUUCCAGAAUUUACCAAAUCCAACAAGAAAUUGUUGAAUAUCGACAAGGACAACAAUCUGUCUCAGCUUAUUACACCAAGAUGAAGGCACUUUGGGACGAGUUGUCUUCCUACCAUGACACUUUAUCAUGCACAUGUGGAGGAUUGAAGGAAGUUGCUGCACGACAAGAGAAAGAAAGAGUCAUGCAGUUUCUUAUGGGACUAAAUGAGACUUAUGCUGCCGUCAGGGGACAGAUUUUGAUGAUGCAACCCCUUCCUGAUACACGCAAGGUCCAUGCCUUGAUACUCCAGCAAGAACGACAGGUUGAAGUAGCUGCACGACGUGAUAGCAAUACCAGUCAUCAUGCGAUGAAGGUUGCUCAACCCAGCCGUUCACCUGCAGCCCAAGGGAAUCUGACUCCCUUAAAGUGUAGUUACUGUGACCAAGAACGACACAGCGUCGAUCGCUGUUAUUUUCUCCAUGGUUUUCCCGUGGGCCAUAAGCUACAUGGCAAAAAUGUGAAGCCACCCAACCGAAGGAAAUCAGCUGCACAUAAUACUCAAGCAAGCUCUAUGGAGUCAACUCAGGCAUUAACUACCACUCCUAAUGAGAAGCCCAUAUUCACCACCGAGGAGUACACUCAACUUAUGGCGCUACUUCGGAAAGAGAAUGGUAAUACACCUUCUUUUGCUAAUGCCACAGGUAUUGUUACCCCCACAACUCACUCUACUCUGUAUUGGAUAGUAGAUAGUGGGGCAACGGAUCACAUAUCCCAUUCUGUGCCCUCAAAUCACAUGACUCCGUCACAAAAUGACUUUGUUGAAUUACCUGAUGGUGGGCAUGCUAAAAUCACAUCGGUUGGUUCUGUUAAGUUGACCAAGGAUUUAGUUCUUGAUGGUGUUCUACAUGUACCAAAAUUCGAAGUCAGUCUUUUGUCUGUUAGCAAACUCACUCAAGCUUUGGGAUGUAUAGUGACAUUUUUCCCUAAUUUUUGUAUUGUGCAGGACGUGGCUACGAAGAGGAUGAUUGGCCUGGGCAAGCAACAUAAAGGGCUCUACUACAUCACCCGCCAACAGAACCCACACCUAGUACACCAUGUCAACCGUCAUUCCAGCCUCUGGCACCAACGUCUUGGACACCCAUCUGCUGCUCCUCUCCAAGCUUUAUCCAAAAGCAUUCCUGAAGUUGUUUUUGAUUUUUCCAAUAACUGUGAUGUCUGUCCCUUAGCCAAACAAACUCGUUUACCUUUUUCUUCUAGUUUGAUUAAAUCCGUAGCACCUUUUGAUUUGAUUCACUGUGACAUUUGGGGGCCUCACAGAGUUACUUCACACUCUGGGGGCGUUAUUUUUUAACUAUUGUAGAUGAUUAUUCUCGUUUUACAUGGAUUCAUCUUAUAAGCUUUAAAUAUGAAACACAGUCAUUGUUGAAAUCUUUCUUUUCUUGGGUGCAAACCCAAUUUAAUUGUCGCAUAAAGUCUUUGCGUGCUGACAAUGGGGCAGAAUUCAUAUCCAUGCGAACUUUUUUUGAUGACAAUGGCGUGUUCUUCCAACAUUCUUGUCCCUCAACGCCCCAACAAAAUGGGGUUGUUGAGCGCAAGCAUCGUCAUCUUUUAAAUGUGGGGAGGGCUCUUAGAUUCCAGGCUCACUUACCAUUGUCCUUUUGGGGAGAAAGUAUUCAAACAGCAUGUUAUCUCAUAAACAGAUUACCUACACCCCUCCUCUCCCACAAAUCUCCAUGGUUUUGUUACUUGUUUCUCGAACUCGGUGUUCCUCUUCGCGCUUCCGCUUCCCCUUGUCUUUUUGUUGAUAACCUCUCUGCUCUUCUAUGGCUGCCAAUCCUAUCUUCCAUGCUCGCACACGGCACAUCGAGAUUAAUUAUCACUUUGUUCGCGAACUCCUCACCCAAGGCGCACUCCAAACUCGCUAUGUUCCCUCUCCUCAUCAACUCGCUGAUUUCUUUACCAAGAGUUUAUCUUGUGAAUGCUUCCAUUUCCUUGCUACCAAGCUCAAUCUUCACUAUGUGAAGCCCCUUGGUGAGCACAUCAGCCACCUGUUCUUGUGUGGGCACAUAUUGAACAUGAAUGUCCCCACGCUGAACUCUUUCACGAACAAAAUGAAAAUCGGUGUCUAAAUGUUUGAUCCUGGAAUGAAAAACAGGAUUUGAACUUAAGGCAAGAGCAGACAAAUUAUCACAAUGCAAGAUAGGAGGGGUGGCAAGAAACAAAUGCAUAUCCUUAAGAACUUGUUGUAUCCACGAAACCUCAGAGGCAGAAUGAGCUAAAGCCUUAUACUCGGCUUCUGUAGAACUUCUCGAAACAGAAGUUUGCUUUUUAGAUUGCCAUGAGAUGGGAUUGUUCCCAAGAUAAACCACAUAACCAGUGGUAGAGCACCUGGUAUUAGGAUCUCCUGCCCAAUCCGAAUCACUAUAGACCAGCAGUUGCAUAUCACUUGAAGUGUAAGUGAUACCAUAAUGAGAGGUACCCUUGAGAUAUCGGAGAAUACGUUUGACUGCACCAAAAUGAAUAUCUGUAGGAGCUGUCAUAAACUGGCAUACAGAAUUGACAGCAUAGGCGAUAUCAGGCCUAGUGAAAGUGAGAUACUGAAGAGCCCCCACGAGACUUCGAUAAGGAGUAGGAUCUUGGAGAGAAACACCUUCGUCUUUAAGAAACUGCUGAUAAGGUUUGGCUGGUGUUGAACAUGGUUUACACUCAACCAUGGUUGCCUUCUUGAGGAGAUCUCGAAGAUACUUAGCCUGGUUGACAAAAAUAUCACCAUUCGAAAGAUAUGAAAUCUCCAAUCCAAGAAAAAAAGUAAGUUUGCCCAUGUCUUUCAUAUCAAAAGCUUCACCCAGAUCUGUAAUAACAGAUUGAACUAAUGUAGAGGAGGAACCAGUGAUGAUAAUGUCAUCCACAUAAAGAAGGAGAAGAACUAUGUCAAUGCCUGUAUGCUUAACAAAUAGACUCGGAUCAGAAUGGGAUAGAGUGAAACCCAAAGUAGGAAGAUAACUGGUGAACUUAGCAUUCCAAGCUCGAGGAGCUUGUUUAAGACCAUACAAGGACUUGAGUAACUUGCAGACAUGAGAAGGAUGUAUAGCAUCUUCAAAGCCUUGAGGCUGCUUCAUAUAGACUUCUUCUUGAAGAUCACCGUGUAAAAAAGCAUUUUUGACGUCCAAUUGACGUAACUCCCAAUGAUUUGCUGCAGUAAGAGCUAACACCAAUCUGACUGUGGUAUGGCGAACCACAGGACUGAAAGUCUCAUCGUAAUCCAACCCUUGUUCCUGACUAAAACCCUGAGCAACUAACCGUGCUUUAUAUCGAGACACAGACCCAUCUGGAUUUUUCUUGACUUUGUAAAUCCACUUACUACCAACAAUAUUUCUGUUUGGUGGAGGAGGCACUAAAACCCAAGUGCCUUGAACGUCUGUUAUUAGCUUAGAGCUUAAGUCUUUGACAGCUCAUGUAUUCUGCAAAACUCAAAACUCUAUAAAUAUUGAGUCAGCUAAUAUUGUAUGGAAUUAAUAGAGAGAAUCAAUAAAAAGAAAUUCAGAACCUUUUUUUUAGUUUUCUUCUUCGUUUCCUCUAUUCAUACUUGACUGGUUAUCAAAUCUCUCCCCCGGCUACUAUGAUUGCUCAAUACUCUGCAAAUCAGGAUUCAUGAUGUCGUGCUACAAUCUCUCCCUCAAUAUUAGUAUUAGUUUAAAUCUAUGAUUGUGUAAAUCUUGUGUUACCUUCUUGACCUUAGCUUUCCAUAUAUACUUAGGCCAACGUCAACUGUAAUAUCAUAUAAAGAUGAAUGAAUACAUGCAUCACAAUCAGUGAGCCAUUCCCUAAUUUUCUAUUCCUUCCUAAAUUUCUACAAAAACCCUCCCACGUCGCAGCAAUGCCACCUUAACUCCGUCGCCAUUUCACUAUCAUCAUCACACGUCUAUGGAGCCCAUAUGGCUUUUCUACUUUUCUGGUUCCCGGUGUCCUGGAAAUUCCAAGUUUAUUUGGGAAUGAUUUUCCAGAUUUGAAUUUGAAGACUUUUAUUCUUCCUCAAUCGCAUUCUCAUCAUAACACUAAAUCUUUACAUCUAGCCAAAGAUCAAAGAACUAUCACAGACCAUAAUGGGUCCUUACAUAUUUGACAGGGGAAAUUGAUAUUCAAUCAAACAAAGAAAACAAAUUCAAAAAAUUUCACACUACACAUACACUGUGGGAUUGCAUCUCAGUGGUCAUGGCAGAUACAGGAAUUUGUUGGAAUGUAAUCCUGCAGCUGCUUUCUUUGAAGCCGAAGUCACCAAGUCCUAUUACAAUCAUUUUAUGUUUAUUUUAUUUGUGAUGUAAUUAGAACCAUUGGAUCAUAGUCCAGGUGGAUUCUCUAAGUUACAAGUGUAAACACCUCAUAGGGUGACAGCUGCAAUUCUGUUGGAGAAGAAUCUCUUCUCUCUCUUCUCUACUGAGUAUACUAUGUAAGCCAAUUGUUUGUGAAAAAUACAAUGCAACAGUCUUUUCUCAUCUUUCUCUUCUUCCCUGCAAAUUCUCCAUUUCUCUAAAAUAUACAAAACGACCAUAGAACUCUAACAUGGCCUCAGAGCCAGGUUCGGUUGGUUGCUGGGCGUGAAUCUGUGCAAAUCGAAAGCUGGUGUUUGGUUGAGCUGAAAUCGAGCUCACUCAACAUUCCAAGAGGCGUAUCUGUCUGAAUCCAAUGUCUAAUAUGGCAGGGUCAGGCACUGCUGAGCUUCGCACGCCAGUUUUCAAUGGAGAAAACCAUGAGUUUUGGAGCAUUUGAAUGAAAACUAUUUUGAAAUCUCAUGGGUUAUGGGAUUUGGUUGAAAAUGGUUUUGAUGCUUCAGAUCCAAAAAAGGGAAAGGAAAAAGAAGAAGGAUCUAAGGCUGCUGAAGUGGAGAAGUCUACGAUGGCUGAGAUCUUGAUGAAGGAUGCUCGUGCACUUGGAUUGAUCCAAAGUGCAGUCUCAGACCAAAUCUUCCCCAAAAUAGUGAAUGAAGAAACUCAAAGGGUGCAUGGGAUAUUCUAAAGCAAGAGUUUAGAGGCGAUAAACAGGUACGAAGUGUUAAGAUGCAAGGUUUACGUAGAGAGUUUGAAUAUACUCGUAUGAAGGAUAGUGAACCAUUGUCUGCUUACAUUGCUAAACUGUUUGAUUUAAUUAAUCAAAUGAAAAGUUAUGGUGAAGAGCUGCCUAGAGAAAGAAUUGUGCAGAAAUUGCUGAUUAGUUUACCUAAAUCGUAUGAUUCUAUAUGCUCUGUGAUUGAGCAUUCCAAGGACCUUGACACUCUUGAAAUUCAAGAAGUGGUUGCAUCUCUGAAGAGCUUUGAGCUCAGAUUGGAUAGGCAUACUGAAAACUCCACAGAAAAGGCUUUUACUAGCCUAAACAUAGAGAGUAAAAGCUCUAAGAGUGGAAGUUCUUCUGGAAAUCACAAAUCUCAGAAGAACUGGAAGUCUAAUGGAAAGAAUUGGAGUAACAAGUCUAAUUCUAAUCCCAAACCAAAUGCAUCAAAUGAAGGAACCAAAACACCCUGCAAGCAUUGUGAGAAACUACACUAUGGCAAGUGUUGGUAUGAAGGAAAACCAAAGUGCAAAGGGUGUGGAAAGUUUGGACACAUACUCAGAGAUUGCCAUAGGAAUCAAUCUGUACAGAAGGUGAAUUAUGCUAAUCAGGUUGAAGAAACUGGAACUCUGUUUUAUGCAUGCAAUGUUGUGACAGAUGUGAAAUUCAACAAUUCAUGGUAUGUUGACAGUGGUUGUAGUAACCACAUGACUGGAGAUGAAAGGCUAUUGGUGGAUAUUUGAGGGGAUGUAAAUUCCAAGGUGAAAAUGGGGACUAGAGAGACAGUCCAAGUUGCAGGGAAAGGCACACUUGUGAUAGAAACCAAAGUGGGCAGAAAGCACAUUCAAGAAGUGAUGUUGGUGCCUGGAUUAGAAGAAAAUUUGCUCAGUGUUGGGCAGAUAAUGGAGCAUGGAAAUUGCCUGGUAUUUAGAAAGGGAAUGGUGACAAUUUUCGAUGACUGGUCACUGCAAAACCCUAUUGCUAAAGUUCAAAUGACUAGCAACAGGUGCUUUCCUCUCACAAUGGUGCCAGCUACUCAGUUGGUGCUAAGAGCUAAUGUGACACACAGCUUGCAAACUUGGCACAAAAGACUGGGGCAUCUUAAUGAUCAAAGCAUUAGGCUACUUGUAAAUCAAGGCAUGGUUCAUGGCUUACCUAGUUUAGAAAAGGAUCUUGAAGUUUGUGAAGGCUGCAAGCUAGAAAAGCAACAUAGAGACUCAUUCCUUGCAGAAUCCACUUGGAGAACCCAGUUUCCACUAGAGUUGGUACACACAGACAUCUGUGGACCAAUGCAAACUGCAUCAAUGUCAGAAAACAGGUAUUUCUUAUUAUUCAUAGACGAUUGUACUAGAAUGACUUGGGUUUAUUUCCUCAGAAAUAAAUCAAAUGCCUUUGAAUGCUUCAAGAAGUUCAAGGCUAUGACAGAGCUGCAAAGUGGUUAUAAGGUGAAAUCUCUUAGAAGUGACAGAGGUGGAGAAUUCAUGUCAAAUGAGUUUCAUGAGUACUGCAGUGAGAUUGGAAUACAAAGGUAGCUGACAGUAGCAUAUUCCCCUCAGCAAAAUAGAGUAGCUGAGAGGAAGAACAAGAUUGUGAUAGAGAUGGCAAAGUCUAUGCUACAUGAAAAUGGGCUUCCUUAUGAAUUUUGGGCAGAAGCUGUUAAUACCGCAGUAUAUCUACUCAACAGAUGUCCUUCUAAGUCUCUUAAAGAGGUGACACCAUUUGAGGCUUACACUAGAAGAAAGCCAGGUAUUGCACACUUGAAAGUGUUUGGAUCUUUAUGUCAUGUGCUCAUUCCUUCGGCACUAAGGCACAAGUUGGAAGAAAACAGUCAUAAAUGCAUUUUUGUUGGCUAUGGACUUUGUGAAAAGGGGUACAGAUUAUAUGAUCCUAGAACUAGAAAGAUUAUCUUGUCUAAAGAUGUGUAUUUUGAUGAAACUGCCUCAUGGAAAUGGGAGAACACUAGUAAUGUAGAGUUGAGAAUGCCUAUGCAAAUUGAAAACCAGGAUAAUGCAGAACAUGAACAUAUGGUAUUUGAUGAACCAACUCAAAUCUUGGAUACUCAAAUGCAAGUAGAAGAAGAAACUGAUGAGGAAAUACUUGACAGGUCUCAAGUGUUUGAUCACACACCUCAUAAGUGGAGGAGUAUUAAUGACAUCAUGGCAAAAUGUAACAUAUGCAUUGUGGAACCUGACAGUUUUGAAGAAGCUGAUUUGGAUGAAUCAUGGAGACAUGCAAUGAAGGCUGAAUUAGAGAUGAUUGAGAAGAACAAUACAUGGGAAUUAGUUGACAGACCAUUUGACAAACUAGUAAUUGGUGUCAAGUGGGUCUACAAGGUCAAGCUUAAUCUAGAUGGCACUGUGCAAAAGAAUAAAGCCAGACUGGUGGCUAAAGGCUAUUCACAAAAGCCCGGGAUCGAUUACAAUGAAACAUUUGCCCUGGUGGCAAGGCUAGAUACCAUCAAAACCUUGAUUGCCCUUGCUGCACAAAAGGAAUGGAGUUUGUAUCAGUUGGAUGUGCAGUCUGCCUUUCUCAAUGGCAUUCUAAAGGAGGAAGUCUAUGUUGAACAGCCACAAGGAUAUGUCCAAGAGAAUAAGGAAACCAAAGUUUACAAGUUGAACAAGGCUCUAUAUGGACUGAAACAAGCUCCAAGGGCCUGGUAUGAUGAAAUAGAUGCUUACUUCAACAAUGCAGGAUUCAAAAAGAGUUCUAGCGAAGCUACUAUCUAUGUCAAAACCAAUGACACUUCAGGUAUUAUUAUUGUCUCACUUUAUGUAGAUGAUAUUAUAUAUACUGGUAGUUGUUCCAAAUUACUUAAAGAGUUUAAGCAAGAUAUGAUGCAACACUAUGAGAUGACAGACUUGGGGUUGUUACAUCACUUUCUUGGCAUGGGAGUGGUACAAACAGAUAGGCACAUUUUUAUUCACCAAAAGAAAUAUGCAAUGAAACUUCUUGAGAAGUUUGGAAUGAAGGACUGCAAGUCAGUGGCAAUUCCACUUGUGGUGAAUGAAAAACUGUGCAAAGAAGAUGGAAGUGAAGCAGCAAAUGAGAGUGAAUUCAGACAGAUAGUAGGGAGCUUUCUCUAUUUGACUGCCACAAGACUAGAUCUAAUGUUUUCAUCUAGCUUACUUGCUAGGUUCAUGCACAAUCCCACAAAGAAGCACUUGGGAACUGCCAAAAGAGUUUUGAGAUACAUACAAGGCACACUCGAUUUUGGCAUUGAGUUUGUGAAAGGGAAAACAACUACUCUAAUAGGGUAUUGUGACAGUGAUUAAGCAGGGAGUGAGGAUGAUAUGAGAAGCACCUCAGGAUAUGCUUUCACACUAGGCUCAUGCAUGUUUUCUUGGGCUUCUAUCAAGCAAAACACAGUUGCUUUGUCCACGGCAGAAACUGAGUAUGUGAGUGCUGCAGAAGCAACUUCACAAGCUAAGUGGCUAAGAUUUGUGCUUGAAGACUUUGGUGAAGAACAAGUAGAAGCUACACCAAUCCUAUGUGAUAACACUUCUGCUAUUGCAAUGGCAAGGAAUCCAGUUCAUCACCAGAAAACUAGACAUAUCAGUCGGAAAUUUCACUUCAUCAGGGAAGCUAUCCAAGCAAAAGAAAUUGAGCUAAUCUACUGUAUGACAGAAGAUCAAAUUGCAGAUAUUUUGACCAAGGCUCUGCCUAAGGAUUGCUUCGUUAGUUUAAGAAGCCUACUUGGUGUGAAAACAGCUAAAGGAUUAGAAGGGAGUGUUGGAAUGUAAUCCUGCAGCUGCUUUCUUUGAAGCCGAAGUCACCAAGUCCUAUUACAAUCAUUUUAUGUUUAUUUUAUUUGUGAUGUAAUUAGAACCAUUGGAUCAUAGUCCAGGUGGAUUCUCUAGGUUACAAGUGUAAACACCUCAUAGGGUGACAGUUGCAAUUUUGUUGGAGAAGAAUCUCUUCUCUCUCUUCUCUACCGAGUACACUAUGUAAGCCAACUCUUUGUGAAAAAUACAAUGCAACAGUCUUUUCUCAUCUUUCUCUUCUUCCCUGCAAAUUCUCCAUUUCUCUAAAAUAUACAAAACGACCAUAGAACUCUAACAGGAUUGGCAAGUUUUUUUUAAAUUUUUUUAAUUUUUUUAAUUUCUAUAAAUGGUUUAAUUGUUUUAAUUUUUGGAAUUAAUAAUUAAGUUAAAGCAUGAAUAAUCAAGAAAAAAUGAUUUGGCAGAUGACAUGAGGUUGUCAUGUCAUGUGCCACAUUGUUUGGUAUCGUUAAGUUGGUAAAUAAGUUAGUACCCGUAGCUCUAAAGAAAAAUAGCUUCGAUUAUGUAAGGCGAUACACUGGGAAAAGUUUAGCUUCGAUUAUGUAAGAUGACACACUGGCAAAAGUUUUUGGCUCCACCACUGAUCAAAUCUAGAUGGAGAUGCUGUUAGGAACACCCAUUCCCGUGACCCCGGGGGUCGAGAAUGGCUUCAAAAGCUCAUAUGGAACAACUCCUGCUCCAACUCUGUUUUUCAGGUUCAAGUUGGUAUUCCUCUCAUCAAUUAUUCCUUCUAGCUUCUUCAAAUUACCAUUGAACCGCUCGAAUGCAGCUUUUAUCACAGGAUUUUCAGCCCAGGAUGACUCAAGUUUCUCACUAAGAUACUCCUCAUCAGGUGAAUGAUUCGAUAGCACAUCCAUCACAACCAUCAUUUGGGUUGCUUGAAUCUGUGAUGGGUAGCAGUUUAGCAGUGUCAUUUCUGGUCUCUUCAAAAAAUUAUUGAAAGCCUCAUCAGAUGGAUCUUCUGUUGGCAUGUUGGUUCGAGCAAUUGUAGGCUUGUUUGGGAAGUAUCCACCAUACGUAUACUGUCCAAAGUUCACAGCUGCAUGAUGUCCAGCUGUUACCCAAAUUAUGGUUGUCAAAAUGUGGAUAAGAUUUUCUGGGGUUUUCAAAACAGGCCACCAUGGCUCAUCUUUCUUGUCUGCAUGGCCUUUUGUUCUAACUUCUGUCCACCAACCUUGAAGCUCCUUAUCAGACUCAACAAGAGUUGGAUCUGGAUAGUAGUGCUUCACAUAGUCACUCACCCACUCCUUAAUGGCAUCCCAAAGAAUGAGACCAUCAUUUGCAAAUGGGUAGUCUUCAAUUGUUAGCUUCAGGCCAUGCUCAGCUGUAGGAUCCUCAACUGCCAUUCC
rnacentral:lncRNA from 1 species